AAUUAGGGUUUCUAUUUUCUGGUUGGUUAUGCUGUAAUAUGUGUGGGUAAAGUAGUAACUUUGUUCAUGUCGAGUUAAAGGUUGCAAUCCCAUAAUAUAUGGGGAAUAGAUGAUUGCUUGGAAAUUGUGUGCAACUGCAGGAGCAAGUUACUGACACUACAAGCAAAAGUUUCUCAUCCCAAAUGUUUUACCAUUUUAUUGAUCCUUUAGUUAGAUUAAACUGGUUUUCCCUAAGCCAUUCCCUCAUUGCAUAUGGUGUUCCAUAUGUAGGAGUGAAAACAAAUGAAUAUGUGCCAAUAUAAUUAUAUGUUUUGCUAGGCUCCAUGCAUCUUGCAAUUUUUAAUAGAAUCGAAGAGUAUAUAGCCCCAACUUACCCUCUGAAAACUUGUGAAGAAGUGGAUGUGUUUAUUAUACUGGAGAAUAUCAACACACGUUCAAUAUCCUUUUAGAUGCUGAAAUGUAGGGUGAGAAACAUAUGGGAAAAAAAUUAAUAAGUCUGGAAUGCAGUUUUGGUUGUGACUAGGCUCCGGAUGCCUGGACUAGGUAGGAAGUCGGAUUUUCUUUAUUUGAUGGCUAGAGCAGGAGAGCAAGCAUGGAAAAAGAAUUGUACUCCCAUCCUCACAUGAUAUGCCUUUUAACCAUUGUUUCCUUUACUAACACUAUCAUCACUACCAUGAGUGUUCAACAUCACCACCAAUAAAAUACAUUCACCACAUCUACAAGUUAUAACUAGUUGGAUGCUUGUGUAGUUGUUGGUAGUUGAGUGGCGGUUGUGUUUUGAUUCCUCACUCCAAUUAGCUUUAUAUGAUCUUUGUGAAGUUCUAAUGAUUCCACUAAAACAGACAAAGUAGGCAGUAGUAGAUCCACUAUUUUCCUUCUUUGUUGGGAUAAAUACCUUCCCCGAGAAUAGAUUCAAUCAUUUAAUUGGAAAUGAUCCUGCAUAAAAAUCAUGAUACUUUUGCUGUUAUAAGCAGAAUGGAAAAUCUGGAUGUCUGGUCUGUGAUGAAUUGAUACCUUUUAUCAGGUUUGCUGUGUGUUAUAUGAUGGCUUAAACUUUAUUUUCUCUGUGAUACAAAAUGUCAUGGAGUCAAUGUGCCAAAUAUGUGAUAAAGCAAACGAAAGAACUACCUUCAUUUGAUUUAUGUUAAAUCUUGCAAGACAUACAUCUUUGUUCCCUACUAGAUGAGUUUGUAGUUUCCUUUACACGGGUUGGUUUGGUUUGGAUGUGGGACUUGAGACAGGGUGGGCUGGUUGUGGCUGGUGAUUGGAGGGUGGUGUUGGUGGAUUGCAGAAACACGAUGAUGCAAAAAUAUGAAAUGGUUGCAAGCAUUUUAUGUUUUCCUCAUCUACUUUAUAUGUUUAUUAUUCACAUAUUUACUAGCUGAAUUUGCAAAAUGCUUCCACUUCUUAAAUUAUGUUGAUAUAGGAAUUAGUUUCUAACGUUUUCAUAUUUGUUUCAGGUUACCCCAAAUGCGCAUUUCCAGAAUGAUCUCGGGUUAGAUAGCUUAGACACGGUCGAAAUUGUGAUGGCUCUCGAAGAAGAGUUUGGAUUUGAGAUUCCGGACAAUGAAGCAGACAAAAUCAACUCCAUCAAUCUUGCCGUUGACUUCAUUGCAUCUCACCCGCAGGCAAAAUAAUGGAACAAUGAGUCUUGUCUGCAGAUUUUUAUGUUUGAAUUUCUUUAUUUCUUAGAAAAAGGAAAACUGAUCUUCCUAGUUCAAAUAUCAAAUCUCCUUUUUUAAAUGUACGUCGGAUUUGUGCUAGAGUUUAUUUUGAUCCUAAGAGCUCUAUUGCUCUGUUGCAUAAUUCCCGGUGAUGGAAACUACUGGUACGUAUAAUGACUAAUGAUUUGCAUUCUCAUAUAGACUUGUAUUGGUUGAUCGAUUUCUCUUCCAAUCGAUAUGGAAAAUUUUAUAAUAAUUCAUUCAGUUACAUUUUGAUUGCAGCAUGUCGUGUUCAUUACUUGGUUACUGUAUUCUUGAUUCUUCAUUAUUUUUUUGAUCAUGGUUUUGAAUUAACAAGGUAAUGUCCCAAUGAAAACACGCUUACUUCGCUAUAUUAAUAAAUGUUUAAAUAAGAUAUAGUUGAUACUAAUGUCAAAUAUUUGAUAAUAGUAGGAUGAUUGUUAAUGAAUAUUGGAUCUUUUCUACACUCUCUCUAACUAAUAUUUUCCUUUGUACCAUUAGCAAAUAAAUAAAUAACAAGGUUGCUUCCCAAACAUCGGUUGAGGUUAUAAGCUUGACAUUAUCAAGUAUUUGAUAUAGGAUCAAUUGAAUGUGUCAUACUUUGAUUCAGCAAACGUAGUGUACUUAAAACAUUUUUAAUCGACUUUUUAAAUACAAAAUAUUCUCUAUUUUAGAGAAUCAAUAUUUAAAAAUAAGUGUCAAGAGAUUCUAUUUUAAAUUUUUUUUAAAUAAUGGUUUGACUCUUCAAAUUUGAAGAAACAAUUUCAUUCUCUAUUCUUAAUUAAUAAUAAUUGUUUUCGAUAACUUAUAAUUUUCAAUAAUCUAAAAUUUAAAUUGUUCAAAUCCCAUUUUAGUUGAUUAACCAUUAACAUAUAAAAAAAAUAAUGUCAAAUAAGAGAUGAGAAAAAUCAAUAAAUGUUCAUUAAAAAAAUAAAAUAAAGAAUAAAAAUGGAGAUCAUUGUUGGAGUGUAUACAGAGUUUGUUCUCUAAAUUUAAAGAAAUUUUUUAUUUUGCAUAAAUCAUUCUUUAUAUAUAGAGAAUUUCUUAUAGAUGUUCUUACCCCGUAAAAAAAGGACGAAUGCUACGACAUGUGGUACAUGAUUAAUGGGUUUAAUUAUUUCAAAAGAACUCUCUUCCAUUUGCAUCGCGUGCCUACGGCAUAUCCUUUUGUCGUCCAAAUAGAUAGUUUUCAUCGGGUAACGCAAACGUUAAAACUGAUAAAUUUGUGUGUGUGUUUCUGUCAGUUCCAUUUUAUUUAAGUAGUUAAUUAAAAUUAUUAAACCUAAUGAAGACAAUAAACCGAUCUUAUAUGGGAUUCCACACUCCUAAUCAAAUUAUUAACUUUCAUCAAAUUAUUACGUAUUCAUGACCCGUGCAUCUACAGUAUCUUAUUCGGAUUAGCGAACAUAAAUCAUAACGGGAUGGACACAUAUUUAUCACUUGUUUGAUGCUUAUAGACAUACUCUAUUGUAAUAUUUUGACCGAUCCAUAAGUACUCUUUUGUAAUGUCCAAAUUGAUCCAUUAAACCAAAUAAUUUUUCUAGAUUGUGAUAAUCCACUUUUGUGGUAUGGGUAAUUGCAUCAGUUUCAUUUGGCAAUUACAGUACUAAAUGACUCUUUUUCAUUGUACCAUUUAUGUACGUAGCAAUUAUUAAUAAUGCUUUCUCUCCAAAAAAUUAGUUGAAAUAAAGUAAAAUGAUUUAUUUACUCAUCGUAUUAUUGAAAAAAAAAAAAUAAAUAAAUAUAAAAGUUUGACAAAAUGUGUUUUUCUCAUUUUAAAACACACAAAAUAAAUAUGUUGAUAGAAGUUAUCAACAUAGAACGAGAUUGAUUAAUUAAUGAAAGAUUAGAAUUUGACGAAAAGAGAGAGGUUAUAAUGUGCAAAAGUAGUGAACCUUGUUCCACAAAUUGGCCAAUAUCAUGUGUAGUCCAAUUAAAAGCUAGUCUACCUCCACGGGCAUGACGUAGUGAUAAAAGUACGAGGAUUCUCUAUAAAGUAUCGGAGGUUCGAAUCCCCGUACUAGUUAAAAGACAACAUUUAUAUUGGAAGAGAGAUGUGCUAUGGAGGUAAAGUUAUGAUACGUUUUGUCGCUCCUUCGAGAGUCCUAUCCGCAUGUUAUAAAGGGAAGUCUAUAAGGAAGAAAAUUGUAUUUCGAAUGUCCGUUUUAAAUGUGUAUAAGCUGUGAUCACAUCCGAAUCUACCCGGAUAGCGAAUCGGGGAAAAAGGCUGUCACUUCUUUGCAUUAGACGGGAGAAGUUCGUAUAUCUGAGUAAAAAAAAAAAAUAAUAAUAAUAAUAAAUAAAUAAAAAUAAAAAUAAGACCAGUCUUGCCGCCUUAACCCGUAAGUGUAAAAAACAAAGGCCUGUUUUUAUUGAUAGACAAAUAGAAGGGGGCAAGAGGCUAUGGGUUUUUCUUUGGGAUUGCACUAAAAAUUGGGAAAGAUUCACUUUGAAGGGGAGGGAAAAAGGAAUACGUCAUCAUAACCCUCUUGGCAGCAGUUUGAUCUUGUGUUGCAGUGAUUUCUACAAGAUCUAUUGUUUAUCAAACUUGGGAGGUAAUACCAGAUUCUUUCUUCUAUUAUUAUUAUUAUUAUUUUUUUAAAACGCUUUAUUUGUUGAUUUUUCAUUCGAUUUGAUUGUUGUGAAUGAUUUAAUUUCAACACAACCUCGAUCUAAGAUUCCGUCCAGCCUUAUUGCCAUUUCUCUUCUUCUGGCUCCUUAGAAUUUAUUUUACCAAAAUUGUUUGUGAUCGGUGAUACCCAGGACCGAAAUCCCUGUGAGAGGGGAAGGGCGAGGGGCAGGGGAAUGGGUAUUCUUGUUCGCUCAUUUUUUGUUUUUUCCUCCUUUCUAUUGUGACUGGCAAUUUCGUUGUUUGGUUUAUGCCAUUUUUUAGAGUUCAGUUCUGGGUUCUCUUUCCUUGUAUUUUUUUGCUUUAUUUUCCUCGGUUUUCAACAUCAAAAAUUGAUUUCCAAACGUUGUUGGAUUCUUUCUCGUGUUGACGAUAUCUAAUCAACACAUACUAGAUUACCGAGUAGAGAAUUGAAAAAUCAUCGCUUACCUCACUUGUUUCUAUACUAUUGCAAUUUCUGCAUGAUUAUAUGACAGACAUUUUGACUUGCCAUGUAUAUAAAUGAAAUAGCUUAUAUAACAAUAUAACCUUUGAACUAAAGAACAGGAGCAGGAACAAAAACUUUCCUUCUACAUAUCAUAAACCCUGUAAAAGGUAUAUGGUAACCCCUUUGAAAUUAAAGAACUUGACCAAGAACUAAAACUUUCCUUCUAGGGGUACACGCAUAUAUUUUUCAUAUGCACACUAGCUACUGUGCAAAUUUUUAAAUCUCUUUCACAAGGCAUUUGCAAUUCCGUGUUCUUUCUUGGAACAGUUUUAUGAAUUUUUGGACCCAACUAUAGAAAUUCUAAUCAUUCUGUUUAAAACUUUGCAUAUAGAGAUUAAAGUCUAUAUGCUGCAUGUUAUUUCCAUACUAUCUGGGGUUGCAGGGAUAAUGUGAAUAAUAGUGUUCAGUCCACUUAAACAGACACAAGAUGGUUUUCAGCCUCAGUGUUAUUUUAAUUGGUUUCUGUUGCAUGUAUUUGUACUUGGCGGUAAUGAGGUGGGAUGCUAGUUGAAAAUGUAGGAAAUUAUUUGCUGGCCUCAUUUAAUAUUAGUCCUCCAGACUUCAGAAAUUUGUGGGAUGAAUUGCAAAUGCUUUUCUUCAUGCAGCUCUCAAUGCUUUGUUAUUUGGUAGAUUAUCAUUUUCUUCUUACAUCUAGUCUUUAUUAUGAAUGUGCUCUUAUUGCUAGGGAUCAAUAUCUAGGCAUAAUAUGGGAGUUUCAGUCUUAUAUUCAGACAGCAAAUGGGAUACUUGAGGGAAAUGUUACUUUAUAACAGGUUUUCAAAACUGUAUUUUGGGAUAUGCUUGCUUUUCUUGUGGUAUGGAUGAAAAGUGCAAGUGUCAUAGUUUAAUGGUCCAUAGGCAUAGGCUAGAACUGAUGGGUUUAGUUUUACACGUUUUUGUGUCUGUACAAACUGGGUGGCAGGAAAGAUAACCCAUUCGGAGGAUAUAUGUUAUCAUGUUCUAGUGGUAUAACAAUUUUUCUCCUAGUCGAUUCCCUUUCUGAAUGAUAUGGUGUUCACAUAAGGUACAAGAGUCAUCAGCUUCUUCAACAUCAUGUGUAUUUAACCAGNGUCGAUUCCCUUUCUGAAUGAUAUGGUGUUCACAUAAGGUACAAGAGUCAUCAGCUUCUUCAACAUCAUGUGUAUUUAACCAGUACUCAACUUUUUACUACUGACAUGUUCGGAGGUUUUCCGGCUAAUACUAGACCAACAUAUGCUUAUUAUUUCCUCAAUAUGGACAAGAACACUAGCUGAAUUUGGGAAGGGAUCUUUAAACUGGAAAUAUACCCAAUCACACUUCUGCCAUCAACUUGUUUUAAUUUAAGGUCCCAUCUGCUGUCCCUUGCAGUGUUUGUCAUUUCCUUGGAGCGUAUAUAGUUUAUCAAAGGCCACUGGACAUAUAGUUUAUUUAUGUUAUCAUGCUUUUAGUUUCAUGAUGUACUUGUCUUUCCCUUAGUUUCUUUUUUCUGAGUAGUAACUGUAGCAUGAAGUGCUGCAGCUGUAUUUCUACUGGAGUAUUUAAUAAGACUUCACUGUAAGUUUGUGAUAUUAUGCAUGCAGUGAAUCCAGUGAUAUUAUGCAUGUUUGUGUUCUUCCAUUUUCUUCCUCUGCUAAAUGUUCUAGACUUUGUUUCAGGUAGUUUAGAAAAGAUGGAUGAGCUGAGUGCUGAAUCCCAACAAGAAGCUCAACAAGCUGCCAUCUCACAGGCAGAGCAUGAAGAAACUGGUAGGAAGCAUGGAGGUUCCUUAUUUACUGCUUUGUGUUUUCCUCCAGUAUGCUUCUUGCUUCUGUUUGGUAGUCUGUUGUUAUGCUUACUAUUGAUUUUAAUGUCCAAGUAUUGAACACUACCACACUGAGUUUAUGUGCAUUUUUGUGAUAUCAGAAAGGAAAGCUCGGGUGAAUGCUGUGUGGCAACAGAUGAACAAAGGAGUUUCCAAUAAAACUCUUAAAUCCAUCUUAGAAAAGCGCAGCUCUACUGCCAAUAAAACUUCCCAAAGGACUUCCCAAAAGAUGUCAUCUCCAGUGAGCAGCCUCUCCAUUUCAAUAUAUUUGAAAUAUACUCUUAUGUUGAGCAUAUACUGAACGUUAACAUGCUUUUUUCCAGAGCUGGAUGACAUCUUUGGGAUUGGCACCAAAAACGAUGUCAUCACCUGGCCAAGAUGUUUCAGCAAAGUGUCCUAGCAUCAGUCAGAACGGUGCCAGUGAUGAGGCAAAGAAACUUGCUGCAGCUGCUCUUUCAGCAGUUAAGGAUGCUGCUGCUUUAGCUGCUGUCGGCAGGGGGAAAAUUGAGGUGAACUUUAUUGCUGUGCAGCUAAUUCUUAUCAGAUUUAAUUUUCGCUCUAAUGGUUUUCCUUCUAGUGUAGCAAUUCAAUUCGUGUCAAUUGAAUUCUUGGCACUAGUUUUUGUUUCGGUCUUAUAUGAGUUUAUGGCAUUUAUUUAAUUUGGUGAUGAAUAAAGCAUUUUUCACUAGAAUAGUGUAACUUGUUUGGACAAUCUUCAAAUGACUGUAGCAGUUGGUUACUUGUCCAAUUUCAGAAGCUCUGAUAUUGUGAGACAUUUUGAGGGUCAGCUGCUUGAUUAUGACGAAUAUACAGUUACAUUAAUAUUUUUAUAUCUGGUACUUUAGCAGAUUUCUGAAGUUCGGGACUUUGCUGGCGAGGAAGUCGAAGUGAGAAAAUUUGUUGAUUCUACCUCAAAAGAGGCCUCUGAUAAAGGUAAAGGCACAGCCAGUUCGGUUUCUGCUGUUGAUGCUGUUCUUGAACAAAUCAAGAAGAAACAAAAACUUAGUGUACUUGAUAAAACGAAGAAGGAUUGGGGCGAGUUCAAGGAAGAAAACAAAGGCCUGGAAGAAGAACUGGAUGCUUACAAGAAAAGUUCAAAUCAGUAUCUAGAUAGAGUCUCUUUCUUGCAGCGUUCAGACUAUCGAGAGUUUGAGCGGGAGAGAGAUGCUCGACUGGCUUCUCAAGCCAAGAGGAAGGUGGGAGAUAUGCGAGAAGAUUUUUGAGAAAACCAUGCUCAUGCUCCUCGUGCAUGUGAAAAUUAUAUGGCGUGGUAUAGUUGGACUAAGGACGGAUUUUGAUUAAGCUAAAAGGGGAACUGAUCUUCUUUAGUAGCAUUCCAUGUUAGGAACAGUUUGUGCUUCAAAAAUUGAACUUUUCAUUUGAUGUGCUUGCAAAGAAAAGCAAAAUUCACCCUCUUACUCGAGUAGAAUACAUUCUUUUCCUAGUCAUUUUAAUUUUUGAUUUUAUAUUAGAUCACAUACAUGCACAAUCAAUAUCCUCUCCUUCUCUGGCUUGGUAUUGAUCUCUCUAUAGCUUUUCAUGCAAUUCUGCUGCCCAAUUUAAAUUUAAGACUUUGGCAUGUCCACGAUAAUAAUAAACUAGGCUAAAAUCUUCUGAAAGGAAAGAGCAAGUCCAAUUUCACGCCAAAUUCUUCAUCUACGUAAAUACAAAAAUAGAAAAGGCUAAAAAAUGAGAGAACUAGCCGACAAGAAGAAAUGCCAUUCAACCUCGUUGACGAUAAAUAUUAAUCUAGGUGACGAUACAGAACUUGUCAAAUAUGGUUUUACUAUAACUAUUGUUCUAGCACAAUUGAUGCUAGAUGGUAUUAUUCUCUUUAUUAAAAACAUUAUGCAUCCAUUGUUAUUUAUUCUAAAACCAUCCAAUUGAGGGUUCUACAUCCCAACUAUAAUAGUUUGUGAUCUCAAUUGACACUAAUCCGCAUAGAAAUUGGUUCAAAUAGCAAUGAGUGGAAAACAUAACCUUUCCCCCCCCUAUAAUAUAGAUUUCGAGCAUCACAGAGAGAUUAAUAUAUAUCACUUCUUUUCCUUUUUUGGGUCUGGAAAAGCGCUAGAUUGUUGCUAGUCAUUACGUAAUCUAAUAAAAAUUAACCAUAGGGAUAAUCGAUCAAGCUCCAACUCCUAAAUGGAAAAUUAAAAAAUAAUUGAAUAAAAUAGCUUAUCUUGUUAAAAAGCUUUCUCAUUUUUAUUGUUAAGGUCCACUGAACUCUGUCCUUUCUAUGGCUCCAGUACGGCAAGAAGGGUUUCGUGAUUCUAUGCUGUCAAAACCAUAGUAGUAACCGAUUCAGGUCAGAUGGUGGCAACAGUGCAACGUGUAGUGUGAAAGCCAAAAUCAAAGGUGUUGACAUGGACCAUCGUUUUCUUUUCAGCUUUUGUUCAUCAUCUUUCGGAGCCUUUAUCAUGUAUAGAGGCACUUUGUUACCUUCGGCAAGAGACUUCGAUUGAGGAGUAUAAUGUUCUACAUCAAACGCAUACUUAAGACUCGAUAUGUUUACCGGCAAGAAAAUGAGCAGUUGGUUCUCAUUGGGUCUAUAAAAUCAAUAUCAAGUUAGAUGGAUCUAUUAAAAGAUAUAAAACCGGAUUAGUUGCUAAAGGGUAUUCUCAAAAGUAUGGUAUAGAUUAUGAUAAGACUUUUUCAUUUGUUGCAAAAAUGACGAUUGUUCCCAUUAUUUUAAUACCUCUAUUUGUUCGAUGAAGUAUAUCUUAAAUGGAUGUUAAAAAUGCCUUCUUGAAUGGAGAUCCUUAGGAAGAAAUUUAUAUGGUUCCCUAUCAUGGUGUUUUUCAUCAAUUUGGUGAAGGUUGAAAACUUCGAAAAGCUCUUUAUGAUCUCAAAUAGGCACCUCAAGCUUGGUUUGAAAAGUUUUCUACUAUGAUUACUUCACUUUGUUUCCAUCCUAGUCAUCAUGAUUUAGCUUUAUUUCACAGAUGUACAACCAUCAAUCAUGUUUUGCUCUAUUUAUUUGUUGAUGACAUGAUUAUUACUGGUGAAAUUCUAAUGCGAAUUGUAGCACUAAAGGCUCUUUUUUGCUGUGAAAGAUUUUUGUUUACUCCGUUACUCUUUGGGUAUUCAAGUUACAUCUUCUCAAAAAGGUUAUCUUCUUUUUUAGUCAAAGUACAUUACCGAUAUAUUGUAACUCACAUGUCUUACUGAUAAUUAGACUGUUGAUAUGCCUCUUAAGCCUAAUGUUCGGUACUCUUCUUCUAAUAAUUCUCCAUUAUCAUACCAUAGUUUAUAUCGUAUUGUUAUCGGUAGCUUGAUUUAUUUCAUCAUUACUAGUCUAGAUAUUGCACAUAUUGUUCAUAUAGUGAGUCAGAUUGUUACCUCGCCUACCACAGUCCAUUGGGAUGCCAUGCUUCGCAUUUUGAGGUAUCUUUGAGGUACUCAAUUUCAAAGUCUUUUACUUUCCUCUACUUCUUAAUUAGAAUUGCAAGCAUAUUGGUGGGAAUGAUGUAAGAAAAGACAUGUUCUAUCAUGGUAUCGAUCGCCAAAGAGUUCAACCUUAAUGUCAUCUCCAUCGGCUCCUAAUUGGUAAGCAAAUGAAUGUCAGUGGGUUAGACAAGAACUAAAGUCUCUAUGAGUGAGUGCCAAACAUUUUAGCCUAACGCUCAUCAUUCUGUUCCAUCGAGACUAAGGUAUAUAAAAGAUGGUGAUAAUGGUUUAAGCUUCAGCUAAAUUAGAUUAGACAACUUUUUCUUGGGAGAAAUAUAGUUAUUGAACAUGUUUUCUAUUCAAAAAUAACAAAAGAAAUAAGCAUAUGUUUAUUUUUUUUUAAUUGAAAUUGUUCGUACUAGUAACUAAGAAGAAACUCAAAUUUGUUUAUCUUUUCAAAUAAUAACCUAUUUCAAUAAAGCAAAACUUAGAUUUUGAUUGUUAACCUACAUAUAUACCAAAGACUUACCAUCAACUAAACAAACUCAUAUUACCUGAGACACAUUUCCACCAAACAAGCCAGGGGUGCGAUUACCGCUCUCGGAUGCAAAGCCACUCAUAGAUGUACGAUUUUACAGUGAUCAAAGGUAGUCAAACUAGAGAAGAUUAGUAGAUUGGUGGUGAAGAAGACCAAUGUUUGACUCAGAAGUUUUGGCUACAACCACAUUAGGAGGGUGGUGUUUGUGGUUGCAAUUCUGGUGGUGAUUGUUUACAAUCAAUGGCAGUGAUGGCAAUUCGGAAAAUCGAAUUGUGGAUUAGGGUUUAUUUCGGUAUGUGUUUUCUUCUUUUAUUAGGCUAAAGAUAUGAAAUUUACAUUUUUCCUGGGCUUUACUACAAUGUGCUUAUGCGUGGAUAUAAUUUUCUGGAGAUCUCUAUUUUCGUUUCCUACUGAAAGAUACGAAUAGUAAAAAUGUGAAAGGAAAACGGUAACAAACGGAUGGAUUGAUGAACUACAGUGGAAAUCUUGAUCUAGUUUUGAUAAUGACAAAUAAUAAUAAUUCUAAAAUAAAAAAAUGAUGUUAUACCUAAAACUUCAGGUAUGGAUCAUGUGAUAGCCAAUCAGCAAGCAUGAUAAAACAAGCACUCCGUGUCACUCUUCUACCUGGCCUAACUAGCCUAACAUAGGCCAUAUGAUACAGGUUGUUGAAGUGAUACACCAUCUUUUUUUAAUGUGCCAUGUAGAGAUUGAUCUUUCAUGGUAUAAGAUAAGGUGUCGUAAUCUGUUGUAGGGUAAAUUCGAGAUGAUUAGCCUCUCAAUGACAUCUUUUUGUUUCACCUCUUUCAAAGGAUAUUUCGUACAAGAUCUCCUGAAUGAUAGAUUGAUGUAAUAUCUCUACAGCAGUCACCUCACAAUUAACUUGUCAAUUUACUUUUCAAAGGUCAACUCUAAAUUAUAAGAUGACUACUUUUUAGAAUCAUUAACUUGCCAAUUUACUAUUUUGUGGACUUUGACUAGAUGUUCUUUGGUUACUUCUCUAAACAUAUCGCAAUUUUCAAAGACAUGUUUCCGAUCACAUUUUUAAAUUGUACAUUCAAACUUGAAACUUGGAAUAUAUUAGGCAUGACAGUCACAAAUACAGUCAUAAAAUGAAAUAAAUCAUAUUUACACUGAAAAUCGUAAUAGGUGACAAUUUGAAAGUUAUAAUGGGUCUCACUCAUGUAUGACCUCCCUAGUAUAUGCCAAUGUAAAUAUAGACCAUUGCUGCCAAAAUACCAAAACAAUAGUAAGUCACCAACAAACAUUAUAAUUUGAGUCACAAUCACAAGAAUUUUAGAGGUUACAUGAAUGUAUAUGCAUAGGUUCCAAUUAGUAAGAUGACUACUUUUUAGAAUCAUUAACUUGCCAAUUUACUAUUUUGUGGACUUUGACUAGAUGUUCUUUGGUUACUUCUCUAAACAUAUCGCAAUUUUCAAAGACAUGUUUCCGAUCACAUUUUUAAAUUGUACAUUCAAACUUGAAACUUGGAAUAUAUUAGGCAUGACAGUCACAAAUACAGUCAUAAAAUGAAAUAAAUCAUAUUUACACUGAAAAUCGUAAUAGGUGACAAUUUGAAAGUUAUAAUGGGUCUCACUCAUGUAUGACCUCCCUAGUAUAUGCCAAUGUAAAUAUAGACCAUUGCUGCCAAAAUACCAAAACAAUAGUAAGUCACCAACAAACAUUAUAAUUUGAGUCACAAUCACAAGAAUUUUAGAGGUUACAUGAAUGUAUAUGCAUAGGUUCCAAUUAGAUAACAUAACUGAUCAUAGUCACACGAGAUAAUAUAUCACAUUUAUAUAACAUAACAUGUCAAAGACAAAAAAAUUCAUAGUUAACAAGGUAAUAAAUUCUUAGAUAAAAACCACGGUAAAACAAAGUAAGUCACAAUCCACAUCAAAGAGGGGCCGGAUCACAGACCCAAGGAUUAGUCUAGAAUAGGACACCUUGUAAAAAAAAAAUAGAUCACAUAUAAAUUACUUCACAAUCAGACAUCGUGUUUAGUUACAAUCACAUUAUUUAUAGAUCACAAUCAUUUAUCAAAACACGUCACAGUAAUAUAAACUCAUAGAUCACAAUUGAAGAAUAUGACAUUUCUUAGUCACAUAAAUACAUAGGUCCAAUUAAAUUGAUGACGAUAUUGUGACUUUGAAGGUGGAAAAUUGUUGACAUUCAUGUGAUAAUAUCAUUGGAAAGUGGAAAACUCUGAAAAUUUGUUGGAGGUGACAGAAAAUUGAUCAUAUUCACGUGACUUUGAUAUUGUAAUUUUGAAAGUGAAAAACUUUAGAUGGUGAAAGAAAUCGUAAACAAUUAAAAUAAAAACUUAUUGCUAUAUUUUUUUUAUAUGAUAAUAUCCUAAAUUAGCCUAUAAUAUUUCUAAAUAUAAGUCAUAAUAAUAUAUAGAAGGUGUUUGUGAGCCAUUUUUAUGUAAAAUGUAUUUUGGAAUAGUAAAUUGAUCGAAAAUGUGUGGUUGAAAAAUAAGAAAAAGUUUUUGAUUUACGUGUAAUAUUAUUUUAAUGAAUAAUGUGUGGUUAAAAAGAAGAGAGAGAAAAAUGCAUUUUGAAAAAAAUGUGUACUAAACGGGCCCAUAAAUUAUAUGGAUACAAAUAUAAUUUAUUACGACUUUUGAAAUUCUUACAAGUUUGUUAAAUUUGAAACCAUAUGUUUUAAAAUUAUUAUGAAAUUUUCCCUUGUAAUAAAUUACUAUAUUACUAUUAACACGACAAUCAAAUUGCAUGGAUACGUGAAUACCUUGUGACUUAUUUUAGGAAAACAAUAAUUAACAAACUAUCUAAGGCCCCGUUUGAUUGUGAAGGAGGAAAAGGAAAAGGAAUUACACCUAAAUUGGAAAACAAAAAAUCACCAUACCUAUAAGAAUUCGUUUUCCAUGGAAUUGGCUAAAAACGUGCUUUAAAUAUUUGUACAUAAAAAUUCAAAUUCCAUUUUCACACGUGAAUCAAACAGUCAAGGUGGAAAUUAUUUUCUUUAGACAUGACAUUUUCCAUGGGAAAUAUUGCAAUCAAACAGAGCCUAAGUGUAUUAGUUAAUAUUCUCCAGGAUUUUAGGGAUUGACAAAGUGGUUACAAUGGGAAUAAUUUUGGCUAAAGUAUUGCAAUAUGACAUUAUUAAAAAUAGAUAAAUAAAUAAAAAUCUUAGCUUAGUUAAUGUUUCCUAGUCGUGAAAUCGAUUCUUUACUCCACACAAAUUCUUAAAUAUUUUCUAUUUUCUAUAGUUAGUACUAAAUAUAUAAUGGUUUGGUGUAUUAAAGUAGUCUUAAUCGUAGUUGUUCAUCAAUUGAAUUUUGCAGUCUUCUUUUCUUCUUGUGUUAGUAUUUCAUACGCAAGAUUGAAUUAAAAUGUAUAUUAAUUGUUAAUUUGAUGAAGAUUUAUGUUCAAUUACAAUUUUUGUAAUAUUUCUUUCAAUUUCAUUUAUGAUAAUAUGUAAUGCGACAGUAAAUUUGGAUGAAUAUUCAUGAAACUUUGCCGUAAUCGUUGCAAAAUUAUUUAUCAAAUUAAGCAUAGAGGUGAAAUAAUUAUUUUUUGUUGUAGACUUGCAUUGAAUUUAAGUUUACAUGGAUUAUUAUUUACUAAUUUUCCUUAACUUGCUAGUUGUUAAAAUAGAAUAAGAUCUCUAUUUCUGUUGUCUUAAUUACCUUAAAUAACGACUUGACAAUGUUAUUUAAGUCGAUGAGUCUGUCAAAGCAAGAGCACUCUUUUGAAAUCAUUUAGUUUGGCAUUUAUAUUUUGGACUAUGGUCCUAUCUGAUGGCCAUUAUUUCGAAAAAUUGAUGUUUUAAAUAGUGAUUUUUUUUAUUUUUUUUUAAAGAAUGUGGUUAAAAAAUAGAUUUUUUUUUGAAUUUACGUGUAAUAUAUUUUAGUGUGUUAAUAUGUUGUUGAAAAUGGGUAUGGGAAUUAAGCCCUUAUUUGAGCCCCAUUUUUGUCAAAAAUGCAUUUUUAAAUAGUGUAUUAAUAAAAAAUAGGAAAAAAUAUUGAAUUUAUGUGUAAUAUUGUUUUAUUGAAAAAGGCAUGAUUGAAAUGAGGUUCAAAUACUAUUCAAUAAUGUAUUUAAAAAAUAUAUAUAUAUAUAUAUGGGGCUCAAGCAAAGGCAAAAGAAUUUUGGAAUAAUAAUUGUCAAGAGGCGCAUUGAGAUGUAAACUCGAGAUAUGAGACGGCUAAUGGCUAUAGACGAAAACGACUGUUUCCACGAUGAAAAGUUCAUUUAGGCACGUCAAUUCCAAGAUUCAAACUAUAGGUCCGAAUUCCACUUACCGGCAAAAGAGUAGGGACCAUUUGUGAAUAAAGCAAAAUUUAUUGCCCUUUCAACUUCUAAAUUCUCAAACCCGUUAUGGGCUUCGAAGGGGACUUUAUUGCCGAUUUAAGAAUAAGAAUUAUGUCCGCUUCAAUUAGUCCGUUCCAGAAACGGUGGCGGUAUCUUCCAAAUUUCUCAACGGCUGCCCAGAAAAGGGACUGUAAAAUAUCGAAACCCUUGAAAGUUCUGGUCUUCCAGUAAAGCUGAUCGAAUCUAAGCAAUCCGGAUCUGAUAAAAUCGUCAAGGUGCAAUCGAAGUUUUUAAUUAUUUAUUUAUGUGCUUGGAUUUGUGUUCCAGUUGAUUACAUAUAAGUUAUUAUAGCUCCUGUUUUCUGAAUUCGCUAGACUAUGGAAUUAAACUGUCCAUUACAACCAAUAAUCCGUAGCUGCAGCAGCAGCAAAUGGAGGGACAGUAAUUAUGGAAUAUUUUUGGUUUUACCAGAAGAUAUUUUGAUGGAAAUACUGUGUAGGGUGCCGGAUAAGCCUCUGGUCAGACUUAAGUGUCUGUCCAAACCGUGUUACUUUUUGAUUUCUCGACUUUGUAUUCCGAUUAUGUCAUCUCCACCCACUGCGCGUCCAAGGCAUGUUGUUGGCCUGUAUUUUCGUACUUGGAAGCUCAUUAAGAAGGAAUUUCAAUUCGUCACCAGAACACGACAACACCCUUUAUUAUAUUAUUUUUCGGGUGAUAGCCUGCCGAAAUAUUAUUCUCGAGAAAGAAAAUUAGGGCAUUAUGCAUCAUUCAAUGAAGAGGGUGAAAGCAGUGGCGAUGGCAAAGGGCAGAUCGUUGGGUGGGGGGAAUGCCUUGGCUCUUAUGGUUUACCGUUUAUGCCUCAACCAGAUGACCUUCUUGACUGCUGUAAUGGCUUGCUUUUAUUUGUUGAUACUACUACUUCUGAUUACUAUGUCUCUAAUCCAUUGACCAAACAGUGUGUGUUGAUUCCUCGACCCCGUUGGAGUCAACAAGAAUAUCUUAAUGCUGCACUUGCGUUUGAACCAUCUAAAUCAACUUGUUACAGAGUUGUCCGGUUUGAAAGGAUUAUGAAGGAGAGGAGCCUAGUUUUACACAUAUACUCUUCGGGCAAUGGGAGUUGGUCUAGACACUCAGUACAACAGGACCCAUAUGAAAGUAUACAAGUGUGGUUCCGGCCUUCGACAUACUUCAAUGGUGCAUUGUUUCGGUUAUCUUUGUCCUGGCACCUUAUACAGAUUGAUCUUGAGGAAUUCAGUGUGUGUGCAACGGAGCUCCCUUUGACAUUUGGCCAGUCCAAAGGUCUGAUAGGUUGCCUUGGAGUACUGAAGGGACAACUAUGCUAUGCUAACGAAGACGGCAACAUGAUGAACAUUUGGUCAUUUGAGAAGGAAGGUUGUGAUAACUUCGGUAGAUGGGUUUUGAGGUAUAACGUCAAUAUUUAUGAUUUGACUCGUGGUCUGAUGCUAUGUAGAGCUUGUGGCCCUCCGGAUUCUAAAUGGGUUGGACCUAUUGCUUUCCAUCCGAACUCUAACAUUGUUUUCCUGGGCACUCCUCUAGUGAUCCUGAGAUAUAAUUUGGAUAAUAACAUGCUGGAAGAGCUAAUCAGAAUAGAGAACGAUCUUAUUCUUCCCGGAUGUUACUACCCUGCAUUUACUUAUGUUCGAUAUCUUGCCCCAUUCAAUAAAGAAGGCAACAUUUGAGCAACAUAACUUGUUAGACCUGUUUUGCAUUUUUAAAUAUAUUUUUGAGCAACAUCACACAUAUUUUACAGUGCAAUUUUGUACACUUAUUUAGGCCAUAUUACUCAACUUUAUGUCGUCAAAUUAUUAAUUUCUAUUUAAUUUGGGUUAUUUUUCGUUUGUUUCAGUGUCUUAACUCGUUUUGAAACAUUUGAAAGGAAUAAUUGGCCAUUGGAUGAAAAAUUGGAGAUAAUAUUCCACAUGUUGAAAAUUGAAGGACUAAAUUAUCUUACUUGGAGAGUUGGCAGCAUAUUAUUAGAAGAAAAUAGAAAUGGGCGUCGACUUGGAAUUGGAAUAAUAUUCAACAGGUUUUGUUGGCAUUUGGACUCUAAGAAAAAAAACGAAUUGAUGGCUGAAUUUGAAUAAAAUCCCACUAAUUGGACCUUUUUGUUGGGCUGAAUUUGAGGAAGAAAAAGGGCAACCUACUAUAUUUAUAUAUAUAUACACACACACAGAAAAUGCACACAAAGAAAACGGCAGAGGAAAAAAUAUAUAUAGACACACUAUUCGUUGGCUGAUUUAGGUAUUCUUUUUCAUGUCAUUGAGGAAAAAUAAAGGGCUGCUUGUUGUGGGAUAUAGAUAUAUAUAAACACAUUCAUAGGGAGAAGGCGGCAGUUGCUGGAGAAAAAAUGUUGGGGAAUACACCGAUUCAAACGUGCAUAUUAUAUUUCUAAAACGUAACUUACAUGUUCACGAAAUCGAAAUAAAGUUUUGACUAACCCGAAUGGAGUUUGAGAAACUAACCAAUGAUUAUCGAAUCUGGCCAUUUCCAUUCUUAAAUUAAAACAUGUGAUUCUUUAUAUUGAACCUUGCAUAAACCAUAUAAAGAAGUUAAUCAUUUUUUGAAAUCAAGUAAUCAAAUCAGAAAUAAGAAAAAAAACUAGAUGCAAGUGAUGCGAUUAGCCGAGACGAGUAUAACUCUUUCCUUAAGAUGAAUUUGCCUCGCAUCGGUGCUAACGAUUUUUCGACAAUCAUCUCCCAAGAUACAACGACCACGUCAAGCCAUAGGAGCACUCCAAAUGGCUUCGACCAACGAACUCGAACGGAAUUUCCUUUCUACCAUAAUAAUGAUUUUGAUGCAAAAGAUAAUCACUUCUACAAAGUGUUUUAUGUAACUUAAUAUGAAAUGAAUAAUAUGGAAUUAUGGAAUGAAUUGGAAUGACAAAUACACAUUCAAGGGGUCCUAUAUAUAGAAUAUGAAGGGUUGUGGAUGAAGAGACACACCCCAAAUCCAGCAUUUUUCAUGGGAAGUUGCAACACUUCAUUUCAAACCUGUAUCAUUUCGAAAAGUUACAACACUUCAUUCUUCCAACUUUGGACCGCAAUUUCUCAUUCAUCCGAAAUUGGUUUCGAGAUUUCAAAUAUACCUCGAUGAUCUACUCAACAAGUAGAAUAAGUUGGUCUAUUUAUUUUUGUAAUUUGACCAUCGGAUCAAGUCCGAACAUUUGACCGAAGUUGACACGAAGUCACAUCUUUUCAUUUUCCCAGUUUUACACUUAACCAAUUUUCGAUUAAUUUUUGAACCAAUUCCAACAAUCUCCCACAUGAAUGAAAAUUCGAGUAUGCAAAUGUAAUGCUAUGAUGUGAUGCAAGUAGAGAGAGCGGAAAGCCACUGCAUCGAGGAUAGUUGCUUCUGGCCUUGAACCUCCCGUAGUGAAAUACCAUCGGACUUACUCGGCUAAUUGGUUAACGUAAUGUCUUGAACCAUUCAACCUUUAGUGUAAGCCAAGACAACGAUACUCACACAGAUGUCUUUCCUAAAUCGUUCAUGGUUUUUAUGACUUAGUUCAUUUUGGUCCUGAACCCUUCUUGGUUCUGCGAGUGUUUAAAGAAUUCAAGCCUUGAAUAAUUCUCAUUGAAGCGGCCCCACUUCACACUCAUAUAGGUGACCUCCUAUUAAGAGUAUUCUGCCCUACUCUACUUGACUUAAUCAAGAUAUAGGAAUCAUUAAAAAUUAUCUUAACCUCUUGCAACUCUGCAGAAAGCACUUUAAUAUCAUAGGAAUGAGUUAGGGAAUUAUUUUCCUUAGUGCUUCAUAGAAUCCUCAUAACUUAGUUGUCCCUUUGAACCAAGAUUUUGGGAUCUCCAGUCAACAAGAUAGGGUUACUAUUACAAGGACUCUAACGUAAUAGGAUUCAAUCCCAUUCCUUUUGAUAUGCAGUAUACUUAAUCUCUCGGUAAAUCUCUUAAAGGUAUUACGAGUUUACACUAUUGAGAUCAUCUGCUUAAUGGUAUUAUAUCUAUGACUUAUACGUUUAGACUUACCAUUACAUGUGAUUUAGUAUCUUAUCAAAUAUUGUUAGUCAAUGAUCGAUUCAUUUGAGAGAUACAAAUUGUCACCACCAAGAAAUCCUCUCAUGAAGCUAUACGUUUCAUUAGCUUUGUCUAAAGCUUUAUCAAUUUCCAAACACGAUUGGAGGAUUUCUAUCAAACGCUACACUAGUCAAUCACUUUUACUAGUGGAUUUCAGAAUCAUGGGUAUUCAAUAUCAUCAUUGAAACAUUAUCAUGCAUUUAAACUUUAUGAAUAUUCUCCAUAUAUUCCAAUUAUUCUUGCACGUCUAAACAAACGCCAUAAUCAGCUUUACAACCCAUUUCAUCCACUUUAAACUUAUUAUAUAUUAUCCUUGUAAUUAGUAUAAGGAUUUUCUAUCUUUCCACCUUCGUAGAUAUCGUUCUUGAUUAUAAGAUAGAAGCAGACGUAACUAUUAAACUGAGUUACCCCCACAAUUUCUCAAUUAGGAAUACAUAUGCAAUUUAGUAAUGUUGCAUCCACAAGUUUUGAACUUUCCAUUUCAAGUUCACAAGCAUUAAAUUUAACCCUCUACAUUCUUGGGUUAUGCUUGAACUAAGAAUUCAGCAACUCUUUUAUAGUUCUAUUCAUUUAUCUCUUAGAUAAUAUCCGAAUCGAGCGCUUCGUGAAAGUCUAAGUACUUUCAAAAUAGUGAUCGUUGACUCACAAUUUAUUUUAAUUAAAGUUGCAUAUAACGUACUUCAAUCCAAUUGCAUAAGAAUAUGACAAAAUGUAAUUUGUCCUAAUUUGAUUACUUGAAAUUGGUAGAAAAUUAUGUAAAAUAUUAUGAAAUAUUAUAUGAUCAAUUUAGAUGAAAAUGUGUGUCCUUUCAUAUAAAAAAUCAUGACUUUUGAUAUAAUUAUUUUCUAACGGCUAUGUCUCUUCAUAGAGAUUAAUCUAAGAGGUGUAUCCUUUUAUAGAAUUGUGUCUUUUGAGAACACAACUUUUCAACCUAUGGUUGAUUCGUUUGUUCAAGUUUGAAUAUGAUGAAUAUGUACCUUAUUAUUUGAAAUAAAAUGAAACUAUCAUGUGAAAUGUCACAAAUGUGAUAAGUUGCAUAUCUUGCAAUGCUUAGCCCUCUUUAUUGUUAAAUUUAACUUCAAUCAUGAAACCAAUUAAGUUGGUAUAUGUUUUGAAAGCAUUGUUGGUCCAUAUGAUGGCCUUGAUUUAAUUUGAAUCAUCCCAUUUAAUUUUAUUGAAGUCAGAAAUUUAACUAAAUCAUCAUAUUCAAACUUUUCUAGAUUUAAAAGAAGUUCGGCACCAUUGCCAACUUUAGGCACAGUUUGUGCUCUGCAAAGUAUUUUCAUGUCUUAAUAUUUUCGCAACAAUUUUCACUAGAACAAAUCAAAAUUUGUUAUACUUUAUGCAAAUAUAACUAGCAUAAAAGUCAUCUCACUUAAUUCAAUAGGAUUAAAUGAGACUAUCAACAUUAAUCAAAGUUAGUAUAAUUUCAAUAAGAUAUGAAAAUUUAACCAACUAAUUUACCAUGUCACAUUUCAUAUUCCAAUAAAAGAAUAGUCAUGAAAGUUCAUAUACUUUCAAAAUUAGUUGACAUUUAUUCUAGUAACGUUGGAGUUGUACCAAUGACCAACAUAUAUAGAUCCUAUUUAAAUAAAUAUACAUGUCAUAUUAUUCAAUAUGAUAAUCAAGUUGAUGAUAGAUUAUGAAAUUAGAUUUGAAAAUGCAUUUAGAAAAUUAAGAAUCAUCAUUUAAUAAAUUGCCUUAAAAAUCACAUGCACUUUUUCAAAAUAAACAAACUUCAUGGUCCUUGACUAAUUCAUGUAAUGAAAUGUGUUGACAGCCAUAUAUAUUGAUUAACAAUUGCAACCAUGUGCAAUAUAUAAUACUUCACUUUCAUCAUAUACUAAACAAAUGGAUGGCAUGGACACUUAAGACACAAUUCAUAUAAUAACAUAAUAGUUUCUCAUGUAUGCAUCAGUUCCUUUUUUUUUUAAGAGUUGCACAGAACCCCACCGAGCAUAAAACAUAAACCGGUGUCGAGUUUAUGCAAUCAGAUUUUAUCGUCCAAUCCCUUUAAUACUUUAUUUAUGCAAACAGAAUAAUGAAAAAUAUAAAUACACGAAAAUAAAAUUCAUCUUAAGAUUGUUGGGGAAUACACUGAUUCAAAUGUGCAUAUUAUAUUCCUAAAACGUAACUUACAUGUUCAAGAAAUCGAAACAAGGUUUCGACUAACCCGAAUGGAGUUUGAGAAACUGACCAAAGAUUAUCGAAUCUGACCAUUUCCAUUCUUAAAUUAAAAUAUGUGAUUCUUCAUAUUAAACCUUGCAUAAACCAUAUAAAGAAAUUAAUCAUUUUUUUGAAAUCAAGUAAUCAAAUCAGAAAUAAGAAAAAAAAAUUAGAUGCAAGUGAUGCGAUUGGCCGAGGCGAGUAUAACUCUUUCCUUAAGAUGAAUUUGCCCCGCAUCGGUGCUAACGAUUUUUCGACAAUCAUCUCCCAAAAUACAACGAUCACGUCAAGCCAUAGGAGCACUCCAAAUGGUUUCAACCAACGAACUCGAACAUAAUUUCCUCUCUACUAUUACAAUGAUUUUGAUGCAAAAGAUAAUCAUUUCUACAAAGUGUUUUAUGUAACUUAACAUGAAAUGAAUAAUAUGGAAUUAUGGAAUGAAUUGGAAUAACAAAUAUACAUUCAAGGGGUCCUAUAUAUAGAAAAUGAAGGGUUGUGGGUGAAAAAACACACCCCAAAUCCAGCAUUUUUCAUGGAAAGUUGCAACACUUCAUUCUUCCAACUUUGGAACGCAAUUUCUCAUUCAUCCGGAAUUGGUUUUGAGAUUUCAAAUAUAUUUCGACGAUCUACUCGACAAAUAGAAUAAGUUGGUCUACUUACUUUUGUAAUUUGAUUAUCGGAUCAAGUCCGAACAUUCGACCGAAGUUAACACGAAGUCACAUCUUUUCAUUUUCCUUGUUUUAUUCUUAACCGAUUUUCGGUUAAUUUUUGAACCAAUUCCAACAAAAAAGAGGCAGCAAUUGAUCAACACAGAAAAUUGCGACUGUAAAAGAAAGGAAAAAUAAGAGAUUGCUGACUGCUGUUGUUUAAAUCAUACAUAUAUACACGACAAGAGACAAAGAAAAAAGGAAACAUUGAGACUAGUUUUAUAUAUACAAACACACAAAAAUCGAGGCAGCAAUUGAUGAAAAAAUGCACUUUGCUGGAGAAAAAAGGCGGCUGCAUAAAGGAAUAGAGGCUCAACAAUUGAAGUAAAUUAAACCUACAUUCAUGCAUGCGGGAGGUUGGCCACUGGAUAUAGAUUACACAAACACAGAAAAUUGAGGUCGGGAAGAAAAGACACGUGUAGAAGUCGAGAAAAUUUGGAAAAAGAAUUCACAUUACGUCAAUUUUUGGUGAUGCCUUUUAUCAUUUUCUCUGUUUAAUUUCGACAAUAUGCUUGGCUAGACUUUUAGAUUGCUAGGAUGUGAUGCAUCCCCUGUUAUGAAGUUUUUGAUUUAAAUAAUUGAAUUGACGUUAAUUUGCUUUAAUGUUUGGAUGUUUAUCAUUUAUUAGUUUGCUUUUCAAUUAAUUAGCCAUUAGUUAAAUCGUUUGUGGUUUGAUUAUCAUUGAGAAAGAUAUAGAAUCGACAGCAUAUAGUGAUAAACAUUAUGAGGUUCGAUAGAUGAUAGAGAUAUACUUGUAUGCUUCACAUGGUUUAUUGAAUGUUCUAGCUCAUUUAAUGCUUUUUUGCACGUUCGUAUUUUCAUAGAGUUAUAGGAAGGUCACGUGUAAGAUUAGAUUUAAUUGUUAUCGAGAAAAGCUUUUAAAUAAAAUCGAAACAUUGACCAACAAGAAUGAUUUCAAAUUGUCAAUUUAAAUUGUUGAACUAAAAAUGGAUUAGCAAGGGGAUUCUAUAUCUUAGCAAUACAUCCCGCGAAUUUGAUAAACUUUUAGUUUGCCUUCAAUUUAGCUAUAAAAUUAGACAUUGAUUUUACUAUAACUAUGAUUUGCUAUUCGAUUAAGAGUACUAAUAGUGUUGGGUUUUUGAUACACAAUAAAUUUCGGAUUAUGAUGUUAAUGUGGGUUAAUAUUAUUUCAUAGGCAUAGGCCGAUGAAUGAAAUAAGUCCAACAACCAAUUCCAUAAGCUACACCCAAUCCAAUUGUAUUCCUUAUGGAUGGCUUGAAUUUUGGCCCUUUUACCCCUUUAAUGGCCCAACUUAGAGCCUAACCCUAGAGUAUAUACUUGGCUAUAACCCUUGCCACUUUCGAGUGAUGUUUUGUAAGACUUUGUGUGAGAAAAAGGAGAAUCUCGGCCGCCCUCUUGGUGAGUGAAAAAACAGCCCCUAGAAGUGUUCAAUACACCUGUUUACUUUGUGUAAUUGGUGGUUCCUUCAUAGUAUACCUUUGUGGUAUCUUCUCCUAGCCUUUGUGGCCACAAAUCAUCACCCUUUCUUGUCCAACGUAGCUAAGAUUGAAUAGCAACUGAGGUAAAUUAUAUUGGUUGUGGUUUGGAGUCGGUUGGAUUGGUUGUUGGUAGAGAAAGGUACGUUGGACUGAGCCUGGAAAACCACCGUUUGAAAAUCUUUCAAGAGAGCUUCCGCAAAAAUUGGUAUUAGAGCUUCAAAGUGAAGGUUUUGGCUCGUGAAAUCUACCAGAAGUCGUCCAGAAAAUUGGCAGAAACGUAGCAGAAAUCAGAUCAAAGAAGCUGUCCAAAAACUGUCAAAAUUAGUCUCCAUUUUUCUCGUUUUCUGAUCAAUCCAGAAGGAGUUUGGGGAAAUGAAGACCACUGGCGUGGCGUACAGGAGGAGGCGAACACUACAGGCCAGCGCGUGUCAUUUGAAGGCCACGCAUGGGGUGGCGCGUGAGGCCUACGCGCAGAGGGAAUAAGCCGCGCCUGAGGGCGCGUGGAGAGUUUUUUGGUGACGGUCCCUUCAAACAGUUUGUUCCUCAUAUUAUUUCUGACAUUUUUCGUGUUGGAAGUUUUAUGUUUCAGGGUACGCAAUAGAAUUUGGACAGCAUUGUUCUUCGGGUGUUCGGGACUCGAUCGUGAUUUUUUGGUUGCUGCAGUUUCCAGAGACUUUAGGACAAAUAGUGGUAAUCCUAAAGUGAUGAAUUCGCAUGUCUCAAUAUCUACGAACCUUCAGAUCUGGUUCGCUCGGUAUCGUAUUCUUAGCUUUUUAUUAUUGCAGUUAAAAUUAAUGUGUAGGUUAAUUUUUUAUUUUUUAUUUUUUGUAUUAAAAGUCAUCGUGUGGGGUGAAAUUAGGUUUGGGGUAACCAUUGCUUGUUGCUAGACCUAAGAAUUACAUGUUAAUUAUCUUAAAUUCUAUGUGAAUUUGUCACCAAUUUUUCUACACUGAUAGAAUUGCAUGUGAACUUAGGAAAAUUUACUUGACUAUUCUGUGUGAAUUAUAUGUCAGUACUUUGCUUGUGGUCAUUAUUUGAUAUUAUUGGCAUGUAUAGGUCUAAGACAAAUGUGAAAAAUAAAAUAUAUUUUAAUUGUGGUAAAAUUUGGGCAUAAUUGAAAGAGAUUGUCCUAGGAUGAUAAUAAAAGGUAAGAUGAGGAUAGAGACAAAGCGAAUGUAACUUUAGGGUCGAGUAGUGAUCCCAGUGAGGUUUAUUGAGAGAAUAAACAUGGUUCUUGCAUUGCAUCAGUGUGUAAUCCUUUUUGCAUGUAUAUGAUCACUUAAUUAUGUUGCAAUAUUGAUGUUACACUUUCAAUAUAUUUAAUGUGUGUAAUUGCAUGAAUUAGUGUGACUUAUUACUUUGUGUAAUGUGUUUGCAUGCAUAGUGAAUUGAGACUUAUGUCAUACUCUAUUUGCUCUGUGAGUGGUGUGAGAGUGUGGUAGUGAGAAGAAAGUUAGGUAGUCGUUUCUCUCCUUUAUUUUUGUGAGCCUGUGUGGUUUGUGAGAUUAUGUGAGGCAGCCAUGUUAGGAUUAUAUUCUUCUUCUUUGUGAGCCUCCUUUGUGAGUGUUGUGAAGUAACCGACUCUUUCUUCGUUUUUUCUUUGUGAGUGCCACCUUCGCCAUUUUCUUUGUGAAUUUUCGGAGCUUUGGUGAUUGGAGUAACCUUUGUGGUCACCGAAAGGUGUUAAUUUGUCAUAGUGAGUUUGAGAUGCAUUAGCAAUGUGUUGUGUGUCUUUUGGUAAGGUGGAGUAUAAAUGCCUAGGGGUACAUGGUGGUUUGUACCGGAGAUGUGGAGUGUGACAUUUGGAUCACGAGUGGAGAUGUGAUCAAAUGUCUAGAAUCAUUUAUUUGGAAAGAGACCCUGAUCAGGUGGAGUGCGAGAGAGACACUUCUAUCAGGUGGAGACCCAUUAUCCACGUAGGUUGGGAAAAGUGAUGUGGAGAUAGAGGAUUAUCCCGUGGACUUAGGAUCUAUUGUGACUUGCAAGUUAGACAUGAGUUGAGUAAUCGGUCUAGUGAGUUUGGUGGGCGAUGAGAGGAGAUAUGUAUUCUCGAAGUGUGAGAAACACGGAAUGGGAUAUGAUAAGUGUGGUGAGAUCUUUUCUUAAGGUCAUUUAUGCAUGUGUUGCAUAUGUGGUUGAUCGUUGUUUGAUUGACUUGGUGUUAAUCUAUGGUUCUAUGUGAACGUAUUUCUGAAAAGAUAUGUAUGUGUUAUCCUAUAGUAUAUAGUCAUCGCACGUGUAUUUGCUCUUGAUUGUUUACUGUUAAAUAUUUGCUUCUACUUGAGUGUUUUUGACCUUAGCCCUAGUGAGUACAUGGAGCAGGUAUGUUAUGUGUUUCAAGUUGGAAACAUGAGGUAAGGUCUGUGGUCCAAUUUUAUUGGAUACCUUGAUUAUGCAAGUGCUAACUGUGUGUUUUGAUUGUUUGCAAAUUUAUUGGGAAUCAAGGUGGAGAUUUGUUGGGUUUUUGAUACACAAUAAAUCCCGGGCUAUGAUGUUAACAUGGGUUAAUAUUAUUUCAUAGUCACAGACCGAUGAAUGAAAUAAGUCCAACAACCAAGUCCAUGAGCUACACUCAACCCAAUUGUAUUCCUUAUGGAUGGCUUGAAUCUUGACCCGUUUACCCCUUUAAUGGCCCAACUUAAAGCCUAACCCUAGAGUAUAUAUUUAGCUAUAACCUUAGCCACUUUCGAGUGAUGUUUUGUGAGACUUUAUGUGAGAAAAAGGAGAAUCCCGGCUGCCCUCUUGGUGAGUGAAAAAACAGCCCCUAGAAGUGUUCAAUACACCUGUUUACUUAGUAUAAUUGGUGGUUCCUUCAGAGUAUACCUUUGUGGUAUCUUCUCCUAGCCUUUGUGGCCACAAAUCAUCAUCAUUUCUUGUCCUACGUAGGUAAGAUUGAAUAGCAAUCGAGGUGAAUUAUAUUGAUUGUGGUUUGGAGCUGGUUGAAUUGGUUGUUGGUAGAGAAAGGUACGUUGGACUGAGCCUGGAAAAUCACUGUUUGAAAAUCUUUCAAGAGAGCUUCUGCAACAAAUAGCUAUAACUCGAUUAAACACAUAGUCCACGUGGAUUCAACACUUAAUUCACCAUUAGAUUACUUGCUCAUGAUCCUAUCCACUUGCAAAAAAUCAAACGAUCAAAGACCAUGAAAAUGAUAACUGUCAUUGAGAGACAAACAAUGUGUAACAAUGGAACCAACACGUGCUAUAGGCAUAGGAAUACCAUCGGUAAUCACAACUGACACAAGAGACUUGGGAGAGAAUGAAACAAAUGAUGAUAAGUUAGGUGACAUAUGAUAAGAAGCCCCAAAAUCUAAGAUCUUGAAAAACUAGAAGAUGACAAACCCAUAAGAAAGGCAGAUAUUGCAUGUGGUAGUGUUGUGUAUGAUUGUGUACUAUAGAUUAAUAGUCUGAAGAUAAUCAACUUGAUUUCCAGCCAUUACGAAAUAAAUAAAUAACUACCAAUAUGCAAAAUACACAAUAUAGAGAUGCGAAAUCGAACCAUAAUCAGUGAAAGCCAAAAAUGCUAGUACUUAUAGUCCUUGAAUAUACCCCUAAAUUUCAUUUUCUAAGGUUUCAAUAUUUCACAGAAUCCUUUUUCAAGACCACUGUUGAGAAAUAUGAUACAUAAUGCCACCGUCAUUAAGAAAAAAAGUAAGAAUAAUGACAUUUAAAUAGGGCAUAAAGCCCAUAAUUGGUUUGAGAAUUUGGUAGUGAAAAGGGGGAAAGAUUGUUGCUUUCCGCACAAAUGGUCUCUAUUCUUUUGCCGAUCCUUGGAAUUUGGACCUGUAGUUUGAAUCUUAGCAUUAAUGGGUCUAUAUGAACUUUUCAUAGUGGAAAACAAUCUUUUUCUUCCACAGCUGUCUAGUUUUCCGUUAAAUGCAUGUGCACGUACAAUUUACUUCACAGUGUAGUCUGAAAUAUAAAUUCCAAACUCAAAAAUUUUCAAAAAGUGCUCUUGCUUUAGCAGCUUGUCAAUGUAAAUUACAUUGUCAAAGAAUUUUUUAAGGGAACAAAGACAACCAAAUUAGAAAUUUGAUUUUAUCUUGGCAACAAGCUAUUUAAGCUAAGAAUCGAGGAGUUUAACUAAUUACUAGAGAAAUCUCACCGGAUUAAAAUGUUAUGUAACAAUAUGUCAAUUACACCUCUAGAUUUAAUCGUUAAGUAAUAUCCAAACAUUUACAAACAAUGGUAUAUGAACAACUGUAAUACUCAAAAAUUAUAUCAUUCAUUAAUGUGAAUGUUAUCCCUACUGCAAUUGAACAAAAUGUAACCAUGGCUAUAAUUGAUAUAAUUUUUUUGGAAAAUAACAAUCGAUAUAAAAUUAAAUUUAACGUAAGUCUACAACAAAAUACAAUCAUUUUAACUCUAUGUUUAAUUGACAAAUGAUUUUGCAAUACAAUCAAUGUUACAUGAAGAAGUAAUCGGAAAAAAUUACCAUAGCCCUUGUGUGAAUAUUACCACAAUUACAAUUAAACAUAUGUUCUCAUCAAAAUAAUUGUCAAUGUACAGUUUAAUUCAAUCUAGCAUAUGAAAAGACUAACAAAAAAAAAUAAAUUAUCAAAAAAUUAAAUACAUGAACAACUACUAUUAUAACCACUUUAAUACACCAAAACAUUAAUUAAAUAGUACUAGAAAAUAGAAAAUAUUUAAUACCUAACUAUUUUCCACAAAGUGGUGGCAAAAUGUAAAACUUGUAAAAAUCUUUCCAAUUUUCAAAUUGAUACGAUCCAUUCUUUCGUACAGCUAUUUACUCGAUUGUAAACAUUUCUAAAACAUCUAACAAAAGGACAAAUAAUCAAUUUUAAAAGAACUUAUUUUCAACCACUUUCAUAUAUGAAUAUAUCAUAUUCAAAAAGGAAGAAUGGAAGCCCCUAGAAUCAAAUGAUGAUAAAUUAGGUGACAUGAUGAGAACCCCCAACGGUCAAGAUUCACAAAGAUGAUGAUAUACCUGAAGAACUAGAAGAUGACAAACCUAUAGGAGAGGAAAACAUUGCAUGUGGUGGUGGUGUUGUAUUGGACCGUGCUACUAAAAACCUCAAACAUGAGUAGAUCUAUGGAUGGUGCAUUCAAUUGCAUACUAAUAGACUGAAUAGAAGCAUCUUGACUUCUAGCUAUUGCGAAAUAAGCAAAUAACUAUCAAAAUGCAAAAUGCACAAUAUCCAGAUGUAAAAUCGAACCAAAAUCAACAAAAGCCAAAAUUAUUAGUACUUGUAGUCCUUGAAUAUAUCCCCUAAAUCUCAUAUUCGCCAGUGGUAGUGUGUCUUAAUAAUCUCCACUUCAUUUAUUGUAUGUAUCCUUCCACUUGACAUCUCAAGUUAGUUAUCGAUUCUGGAGCACAUAUGGACGUCAAUUGACCAAAUUUUGUAAGAACUUGUUUUCUUCCAACUUUGGAUUGCGAUUCUCGCAUUGGACAUCCAAAAGAUUUCCCAAUGAUGUGGAGAUGUCAUUUUUCAUUCAAAAUUAUCCAAGGGAAAAUUUCAUAAGUAAUAGAGUAAGUAUGGCAUAUUUCAAAAUUAAGAAAACGAGUUUCAAACUUCAAAAAUCAUAUUUUUAUUAAAAUGUAUAUAUGAUUUAAUUAAUUAAUUUAUUAAUUAAAUAUAUUUAGGUUACAUAUCUAUACAAUUUGGUCAUAAAUUAACAAUUUAAUUAAUCACUUAUUAUUUUUUGAUCACAAAUCAAAAAAUUUAUGUCACAAAUUAUUUUAUAAUCGCCAUUCAAAGAUUUUAUAGGUCACAGUUUGUUCAUUGGUCACAAAUCAAAAAAUUAAUUAAUUAUGGAUUAAUCUUUAGUCACAACUUAUUAAAUUAUUGGUCACAACUUGUUUUUUGGUCACAAAUCGAAAAUUUUAUAAGUCACAUAUUAUUUUUAGACUACAAAUAAAAAAAAUUUAUAGGUCACAUAUCACAAAAAUUAUAGGUCACAUCUCAUUAGACAGUCACAAAUUAUUUCUUGAUCACAGUUUAUUUUUUUCAUUGGUCACUCCACCUGCACCACCGCCACCAUUGGCAGCACCACCGCCACCCGAUAGCAAUACCGCGGUCCCAAAUAAAUCAACACAUCCACCUUGACAAACCGUCACCACUGACAUCUCAUCACCACGACCAUCGUUUUCUACCGCCAAGACCACUGUCAUCUACCGCCACAACCACUAUACCGCACCACACAACAUAACCAAAACCACCACAGCCACCGAACCACACCCACAACCACCAACCAACCAACUUGCACCACAACCAUCAACCACAUCGCACUGCAUCGCUAAUGAUAGUGACAAUGACCAAUUUGCAACCACAGUUCCAAAACACAGAUCCAAAACACAAAUCCAACCAUACCCAACCACAUCGACAACCAUCGAUCCAAAACCACAAAUUCGACACCACCUCGUCGCCACACCAACACUGCCUCACAGCCAUCAAUGGCGCCUCACUGCAAUAGCGCUAGGUCAUGACCGAAUACAGCGAUGGUUCUGCACCGCCCAUUCUUCACAGGUGAGAGAGACUAGAGUGACGAGAUGUAGAGAGGGAAUGAGUUUGAGGGAAAUUAUUUGGGGAUGGAGGGGAGUUAGGGUUAGUUUAUAAAUUAAAUAAUUAAUAUAAAAAAUUCUGAUUUUUUGAAAUAUUAAAGUUCCAAUCUGAUUUAGGAUGUUGAAUACUUAAAGUAUGGGAUUGUGUAAUUUCCAUAUCAUCCAAUUCUUGGAAAGCUAACUUGCAUUCCUUACGGCCAGCUUGGGAGUUUUAUUUUCAUCGAUAUUGACUGAUUAUGGAUGGCAUCGAUUAUGAUGGCAUCGAUUAUGAGGAGUUGAUAAAAUCGAUACUUCUUAUUUUUUGGAACAUGAAUUAUUUAUGAUUUAAAAAUCACCAAAAAUUGAUGUAGUGUAAUUUUAAUUAAUUCUCUCAACGCACCAAAUCGAUGAUUUUCAACUGUUUCUUAUAUUUUCUUCUAAAUUUAAUUUCAAUAAAUUAAUUACCGCCAACAUAUUUUGUUCAAAAAUAAAUUAUAAAUAAAAAUAUAUUAACUAAAAAAGUAUUUGCAAACAAAAAAAUUACAUUAUAAUUAAAAAAUUACUUAUAUGAUAAAAAUCACUUUUAUUUAAGAAUUUAUAAAAUAAAAAUACUCCUAAUAAGAAAAAAAUUCACUUAUAAAAUAUAAGCGGUUACUUAUAAGGGAAAAAAUCCCUUUAAUUAAAAAUUUUAUUUAUAAAAUAAAAAUACUACUAAUUAGAAAAAUAUUCAUUUAAAAAUUAUUUAAUAAUACAAAACUAACAUGUAAUUAUAAACUUCACUUAUAAGUAAAAAUAAUAACUUAAAAUUUUAAUUAUAUAUUUAACUUUAUUUAACUUUUAAACUUAAAUAUUAACUUAUAUGUAAAAAAAUUAUCUAUAAUUAAAAUAUCACUUAUGAAUAAAAAGGUUUCAUAUAAGAAUCUAUAAACUAAAAAUUUCACUAAGAAACAUAUUGGAAUUUUAUUCAUUUUAAAAAUUUCCAAAACUAGUGGAUAACAAAUUAACAAGCAAAGAUUGUAUGGCUUCGUUUUAUAAAUCACUACUAAAAUCAUUCAAAAUUAGUUUGCUCAUAAAUGUUCGAAAUCAGUACAUUAGAAAAUGCUCAUAACCGCUACUUUGAAACUCCCAAGCAUGCCCUUAAUGAUGUCUAUCCACUAGUUUCAAUUUUCAAUUUUUUAUUGUUCUUAUUGCUUAAAAAAGAAAAAAAAUUCUCCAUAAAAUUCUGUUGAUGCAGAAGCCCAUAAAACUAAUGUCACACCCCUCAUUUUAGUCAAAGUCAAGAAAUAUAAUUGGUCAAAGUCAAAGUCAAUGAGGGCUUAAGUUUAACGAAUAAUUUUCAUGGAAAUUAAAUUGUAAUUUCAAGUAACUGAGGGCUAGAAAUGAUAUAAUAAAGGAAUCCAAUGGCUUAGUUUCUGUUAUGGGAAAUGAAAUAAUUAAAUGUGAUAUUAUGUAAAGGUUGGGGACUUGAAUUGUAAUUAUAUUAUAGUUACCUAUUGACUUAGAGGAUAAUGACCCAUUUUUCAGGGGCAAUUUUUAGUUUGGCCAAGUCAAAGGUGCAAUUUUUCACUUUAACCAAAAAAAAAUUUGCCUAUCACCAAAAUAGCCUUUUAUUGAGUAAAAGACAAAAAUGCCCUUAGGUAGUUUAUAUAAUUACAAAAAUAGCAUUUUGUUUCAAAAGACAAAAAUACCCUUAACUUACAAAUUAAAAAAUCAAACACUUUUCACUUUUCACUUUAUAUUUAAUUAUUUAUUUUAAACAAUUACUCAAAUUAAAAAAAUUAAUAUUAAAUUUACUUUCUUGUUUAAAUAUUUCAUUAAUUAAUUAUCUUAAUCGAUUAUGUAUAUUAUUUAUUUAAUAUUUAAUUUCUUUAUUUAAUUAUUUAUUUAAUCACUUGCUUAAAUAAAAAAUUAAUAUUUAAUUUGAUUUCUCAUUUAAAUAUUUUAUUAAUUUAUUAUCUUAAUUGAUUACGUAUAUUUAAUAAAUUAUUUAAUUAUUUAUUUUAAACACUUAUUCAAAUAAAAAAUUAAUAUUUAAUUUUGGUUUCUCUUUUAAAUAUUUCAUUAAUUAAUUAUCUUAAUUGACCCUUAUUUAAUUAUUUAUUUUAAACACCUACUCAAAUAAAAAAAUUAAUAUUUAAUUUNNNNNNNNNNNNNNNNNNNNNNNNNNNNNNNNNNNNNNNNNNNNNNNNNNNNNNNNNNNNNNNNNNNNNNNNNNNNNNNNNNNNNNNNNNNNNNNNNNNNNNNNNNNNNNNNNNNNNNNNNNNNNNNNNNNNNNNNNNNNNNNNNNNNNNNNNNNNNNNNNNNNNNNNNNNNNNNNNNNNNNNNNNNNNNNNNNNNNNNNNNNNNNNNNNNNNNNNNNNNNNNNNNNNNNNNNNNNNNNNNNNNNNNNNNNNNNNNNNNNNNNNNNNNNNNNNNNNNNNNNNNNNNNNNNNNNNNNNNNNNNNNNNNNNNNNNNNNNNNNNNNNNNNNNNNNNNNNNNNNNNNNNNNNNNNNNNNNNNNNNNNNNNNNNNNNNNNNNNNNNNNNNNNNNNNNNNNNNNNNNNNNNNNNNNNNNNNNNNNNNNNNNNNNNNNNNNNNNNNNNNNNNNNNNNNNNNNNNNNNNNNNNNNNNNNNNNNNNNNNNNNNNNNNNNNNNNNNNNNNNNNNNNNNNNNNNNNNNNNNNNNNNNNNNNNNNNNNNNNNNNNNNNNNNNNNNNNNNNNNNNNNNNNNNNNNNNNNNNNNNNNNNNNNNNNNNNNNNNNNNNNNNNNNNNNNNNNNNNNNNNNNNNNNNNNNNNNNNNNNNNNNNNNNNNNNNNNNNNNNNNNNNNNNNNNNNNNNNNNNNNNNNNNNNNNNNNNNNNNNNNNNNNNNNNNNNNNNNNNNNNNNNNNNNNNNNNNNNNNNNNNNNNNNNNNNNNNNNNNNNNNNNNNNNNNNNNNNNNNNNNNNNNNNNNNNNNNNNNNNNNNNNNNNNNNNNNNNNNNNNNNNNNNNNNNNNNNNNNNNNNNNNNNNNNNNNNNNNNNNNNNNNNNNNNNNNNNNNNNNNNNNNNNNNNNNNNNNNNNNNNNNNNNNNNNNNNNNNNNNNNNNNNNNNNNNNNNNNNNNNNNNNNNNNNNNNNNNNNNNNNNNNNNNNNNNNNNNNNNNNNNNNNNNNNNNNNNNNNNNNNNNNNNNNNNNNNNNNNNNNNNNNNNNNNNNNNNNNNNNNNNNNNNNNNNNNNNNNNNNNNNNNNNNNNNNNNNNNNNNNNNNNNNNNNNNNNNNNNNNNNNNNNNNNNNNNNNNNNNNNNNNNNNNNNNNNNNNNNNNNNNNNNNNNNNNNNNNNNNNNNNNNNNNNNNNNNNNNNNNNNNNNNNNNNNNNNNNNNNNNNNNNNNNNNNNNNNNNNNNNNNNNNNNNNNNNNNNNNNNNNNNNNNNNNNNNNNNNNNNNNNNNNNNNNNNNNNNNNNNNNNNNNNNNNNNNNNNNNNNNNNNNNNNNNNNNNNNNNNNNNNNNNNNNNNNNNNNNNNNNNNNNNNNNNNNNNNNNNNNNNNNNNNNNNNNNNNNNNNNNNNNNNNNNNNNNNNNNNNNNNNNNNNNNNNNNNNNNNNNNNNNNNNNNNNNNNNNNNNNNNNNNNNNNNNNNNNNNNNNNNNNNNNNNNNNNNNNNNNNNNNNNNNNNNNNNNNNNNNNNNNNNNNNNNNNNNNNNNNNNNNNNNNNNNNNNNNNNNNNNNNNNNNNNNNNNNNNNNNNNNNNNNNNNNNNNNNNNNNNNNNNNNNNNNNNNNNNNNNNNNNNNNNNNNNNNNNNNNNNNNNNNNNNNNNNNNNNNNNNNNNNNAAUAGAUUGGAUUUUGAUCUGAAUCCGAUGAAAUUAAUGGGAGAUAGAUUUAGGGUCUCAAUCGGAAGAUCCAAUCGAGAUUCAAAUCCGAUAAUCCGUUUACUAAAUAAAUCAAAUAUGGAUAUAGGUCAAUCUAAUCUGAUAAAUAAAUAAAAUCUUGAUUUAUCUAAUUUUUUCAAUUUCGAAUCGGAUAUCCAAUAACAUAGUUAAUCGAAUAUGGAUUUAACAUUCAAAUAUCCGUCGGAUUAUUGAAUCGGAUCGGAUAGGAUAGGAUAAUUAUUAUUAACGGAUCGGAUCGAAUUUGAGCAGAUCCGAUCCAUUUGCGGUCCUAACUUCAAUGCGAAGAUUUCACAAUCACUUGGGUCGUCGUAUCUCUUGAAUGCAUCUCCCAACUGUGCCAGAAUUACCGUCAUAAGUAGAAUCGAUGUAACAGGUCUGCGUGCUCCUCAUCCAACAAAUAUAGGACUAAUGCGAAGCUAGCAAAGUUAUAGUUCGACGCAACUUUGUUAGCAAUAUGUCUCAUGGCAGUGUUCAAAUGGCAAUCCAUCUUGUAAAAUUUAAAUGUGUAUUUAAAUUAUUUAUUUUAAUUGUUUGGUUGUUUAUUUAAUAUUUAUUUUAAUUGUUAAUUGAAUGUUUAAUUGUUUAUUUUGAAUGUUAAUUAUUUAUUUCAAUUGUUUANNNNNNNNNNNNNNNNNNNNNNNNNNNNNNNNNNNNNNNNNNNNNNNNNNNNNNNNNNNNNNNNNNNNNNNNNNNNNNNNNNNNNNNNNNNNNNNNNNNNNNNNNNNNNNNNNNNNNNNNNNNNNNNNNNNNNNNNNNNNNNNNNNNNNNNNNNNNNNNNNNNNNNNNNNNNNNNNNNNNNNNNNNNNNNNNNNNNNNNNNNNNNNNNNNNNNNNNNNNNNNNNNNNNNNNNNNNNNNNNNNNNNNNNNNNNNNNNNNNNNNNNNNNNNNNNNNNNNNNNNNNNNNNNNNNNNNNNNNNNNNNNNNNNNNNNNNNNNNNNNNNNNNNNNNNNNNNNNNNNNNNNNNNNNNNNNNNNNNNNNNNNNNNNNNNNNNNNNNNNNNNNNNNNNNNNNNNNNNNNNNNNNNNNNNNNNNNNNNNNNNNNNNNNNNNNNNNNNNNNNNNNNNNNNNNNNNNNNNNNNNNNNNNNNNNNNNNNNNNNNNNNNNNNNNNNNNNNNNNNNNNNNNNNNNNNNNNNNNNNNNNNNNNNNNNNNNNNNNNNNNNNNNNNNNNNNNNNNNNNNNNNNNNNNNNNNNNNNNNNNNNNNNNNNNNNNNNNNNNNNNNNNNNNNNNNNNNNNNNNNNNNNNNNNNNNNNNNNNNNNNNNNNNNNNNNNNNNNNNNNNNNNNNNNNNNNNNNNNNNNNNNNNNNNNNNNNNNNNNNNNNNNNNNNNNNNNNNNNNNNNNNNNNNNNNNNNNNNNNNNNNNNNNNNNNNNNNNNNNNNAAAAAAAAAAAAGCAAAAUGUUUAAAAUAUUGAAAAUCAAGAGAAAUCCAAAUUUACCCUUACUAUUUAAAGAAGAAAGAGAAGAGAGUAAGGAAAUAGAAAAAUUACUGUAGCACUGAUAAAAAAGGAAAAAUAGACGACCCAUAUUUAAAGUUUUUAUGUUGAUUUUUGGGAAAAAAAAACAUGAUUUUAUAUACAUGUGUUGAUUUUUGGAAAAAUGCAUGAUUUUUGGGUAAGGAUAAUAGUUUGGGAGGAAGAAAAUGGAGUAGAGAUCGUCGAAAAUGGAGUUUUCCGGCGAUCUCCACAAAGGAGACGUAAGCCCAGCCGACUGGGCCUAAAGCCGACUGGACCGUUUAGGCAUGCCCAGACGACCCAGACUCACCCAGACGGCCCAGUCGACUGGGCCGUCUGGGUCGUCUGGGCGCCCGGUCGACUGGGCCGUCUGGGCGCCCAGUCGACUGGGCCGUCUGGGUCGUCUGGGCGCCCGGUCGACUGGGCCGUCUGGGCGCCCAGUCGACUGGGCCGUCUGGGUCGUCUGGGCGCCCGGUCGACUGGGCCGUCUGGGCGCCCAGUCGACUGGGCCGUCUGGGUCGUCUGGGCGCCCGGUCGACUGGGCCGUCUGGGCGCCCAGUCGACUGGGCCGUCUGGGUCGUCUGGGCGCCCGGUCGACUGGGCCGUCUGGGCGCCCAGUCGACUGGGCCGUCUGGGUGAGUCUGGGUCGUCUGGGCAUGCCUAAACGGUCCAGUCGGCUGGGCUUACGUCUCCUUUGUGGAGAUCGCCGGAAAACUCCAUUUUCGAUGAUCUCUACUCCAUUUUCUUCCUCCCAAACUAUUAUCCUUACCCAAAAAUCAUGCAUUUUUCCAAAAAUCAACACAUGUAUAUAAAAUCAUGUUUUUUUUUUUCUAAAAAUCAACAUAAAAACUUUAAAUAUGGGUCGUCUAUUUUUCCUUUUUUAUCAGUGCUACAGUAAUUUUUCUAUUUCCUUACUCUCUUCUCUUUCUUCUUUAAAUAGUAAGGGUAAAUUUGGAUUUCUCUUGAUUUUCAAUAUUUUAAACAUUUUGCUUUUUUUUUUUUUUUUUAAUUGGUCAAAGGCCUCUUUGGAAAACUGGCCGGGUCAACCGGCUGUUGGCCACUAUUUCCUCCAUUUUUCAUCCCAUUUCUCUUUUUGGAAACGGAUAGAAGGAUCGAGAGAGAGAGACUAAGAGACCGAGAGAGAAAUGAAUAAAAAAAAUGAAGAAGAAUGAGGAAGAGGAGGAAUAGGUGUUGGCUUUUCAAUUUCCAUUCUUUACUUCUCCUUAUUUUCAAGAGGUAAGUAAAAAUUAUGUAAUUGAAUUUUUAGGGUUCAUUGAAAAUUACUCAAAAUUGGAAAUUUAGCUAAAAUUAAUGAUUAUAUAUAUAUAUAUAUAUAGGAAGAUUUGUGUUGAAGUGUGCAAAAAUGUGAAAUGGGUUUGUAAUUCAGAGCUUGAAUCUUUGAUUUAUUGCGUGAAUAUGAUAUAAAACACCUUAUUUUUAGUUUAUUAUAGUGAGAUAUGAAGUUAAGGUUAGAUUUUGGUAUUUAUAAGCAAUUUUCGUGCAAAAUUCAUGGACAGGUGUUAGUUCUGAAAUUCUGCCGAGAAAAGUGCUAUUUCUGUAAAGGGAUUUGAUGCCAAAUUUCAAUAUACAGAAAUUGGUGCCCGAUUUUUAUAUUUUGGGAUUUUAGUGCUGUUUUUGUCAAACCUUGGAUUUCCAGAUUUUUAAAGGUUUUAAUGAAUUUAUAUGAUAAAUAUUGAAGCCUAUGUAUUGGACUAACUAUGUAUAGGGGUUGUAUAUGUAUUAAAGUAGUGAUUUUAAGGAAGCGUGAGUUGUGUAAUGGAUUUGAUAAUGUAUGGUGACUAGUUGAUAAAUCAUUAAAGAGAAAAAAAGUUGGAGAAUUGGAGAUGUAAGAGUAAGUAUAAAAGUUGAGAAGUUAAGUGGUGGAUUUAUAUUAAUUUAAUUGUUAGAUUUUAAUUCGAGAAAUUAUACCAUUAUUUCAGGUGGCAACGUGGAAGCUUGGAAAUGUUCUUCAAUUUAAUCAAAUAUCUAUCCAUAGAUUUGUGAGAGGAAAAAUAUAAAUAUUUUUAAGUAUUUAUAAAUUAAGUAUAUUAUCGAAAUAUGUGCAAUUAUGUGUUUGAUUAUAUGAUUAUUAUGGAAAUCUCUUUUAUUAUGAUACAUGUGAAAUUUCAAGGAUUAUUUAUUGUACAUUUGUGACUUGGUAUAUGAGACAUGUGAUAUUGAGAUUUGCUUGGUAUGUGAAACGUGGUAUUAAGAUCGAUCAGAAAAGUAUCCGUGAUUAUGUACUUCUUCUAGUUCAUAGAGGGGCCUUGGCCGUGUUCUAUCCUCCACGGAAAGUCUUGACCGGAUAUUGGUCUCGACUGUGUACAUAUAGUUCACAGAUAGGCCUUGGCCGUAUUCUAGAAUUGAUUAUUAGAGGUCUUUGAGAUCGACUUUCGUUCACGGAGGGGGCCAAAGGCCCGUGGCAAAAGUGCCUAACUCGAGGGGCGGAUUACAGAUUUUAGUAAGAGGGUACAUUUUUGGUGGAUCACAUGUGAUGUGAUGAGAUGAUGGAAUAGAUAUCAGCUGAUGACUAUAUCGUGAUUAAGAGAUGAUAUUUACAGUGUUAUAAGAAUGUCUCAUUUUUUGUUUAUAAUUGUAUGAGGCUAUCAUAUGAAAUAUUAAAUGAUAUGAACUUGAUGUUUGAUAAAAAUGUUUAAAGGAGAAAGUAUGAUUAUUUUGAACUAUUCCACUCACUGAGCUAUCAACUCAUAUUUUUGUAAAAUUAUUCAUCUAGGUAAUAUUGGUCCUUGAUAGCUUGAGAAGCCUAGUGAUUUCAAAGUUAGAGCCACAGGACAUAUUGAAUUAUAUGAGUCAAUUUGAUAAAUCACAAAGUAAAUUUUGGACCAAUCGCAUUAUGUUUUUAUAAACAUUUGAUUUUAUUGCAUUUUUUUUGAAAUAACUCAUAGUCAACCUUGGUGAUGGAUUUGACAUCUAGUCAGCAUCUAUCAUCAGCGUACUUCAUGUUUCGGGUCCACUAGGGUGAUUCAGGACGGGUCGUGUCAACUAAAGCCCAAAAAUAAAAAAAAAUUCAAGAGGAAAUUACGUAAACUAAGAGAUUUAAAGAUUCGAUUUCAUUAAUCAUAUACUAAGUUUAUUAUUUCAAAAAUCAGAGACUUAUUUUAAUUAAUUACUCCAUAAAAACUAAUUAAUCCACCAUCCCAUUCGAAGCCCUAAUUCAUUCUUUAUCUCCACUCUCUUUCUGCCUUAUAUAUCUCAAACGUCUCCUUCUUUCCAUCGACACCGGCACCGAUUGUCACAGCUGCUGCUGUGAAAUCUUCAGAGGUGUCGACGCUCAGAUACAGCGAAUAAGGGCUAUCAAAUUCUCUCUAUCUCAACGGUGCUGAUGCUCAAAUUCUCUCCAUUUUCUCUCUACCGCGCUGCUGCAAAAUUAUGGGUGUCAAUUUGACUUUUGAGUGUCGCUGUGAGCAUUGGAGAUAGCUCUCAUAGCGGCCAAUCUGAUUGCCGUUGUAAACGAUGCUCAUAGCAGUGCCGACUGCAGUAGCGUGUUGAUGACAAUGCGGUGUUGUUCGGAUGCGUGGUGCAGUGGUGUGGUGGGUGUGCAGUGCGGGUUGGUGUUGUGUUGUAUGGUGAUGGGUUUUCAUGUUUCGGUGUUGGAAUUUUGAGGUGAUUUUUAUUGGUGGAUUUGGUGAUGGAGGUGGUGGAUAUAGCGGUGUGACAAACAAUGUUGGCAUUGGCGGUGUGGUCACAAACUAGGUGGUGCAGGUGGGGAUGGUGCGGGUAGUGGUGGUGGUGAGUUAGCGUGGCUAGCUCUCCUUCAUCUUCGCUUACGGCGUAGCCUUGCACUAGGGUGUGAUGGUGUGGUGGUGGUAUCUGUGAUGGUUAAUUUGUUUGAUAUUGUGGUGUUGCUGUUGACGAUGGUGUCGGGAUAAGGUAGUGUUGGUUCAGGGAUGUUGCUGUCGAGAGGUGGAGACAGUGGUUCUGGCGAUGUUGCUGCUGAAGUCAUGGCGUGGUAGUGGUCACAGAUAAAUUUUUGAUUUGUAACCAAUGAACAAAUCAUGACCUAUAAAAUUUUUAAAUUGUGAUCGAAAAAUAAUUCGUGAGUAUAAAAUUAAUUGUGACAAAUUAUUUUGAUAAUUUGUGAUCAGUAAAAAUUUUGAUUUUGUGACUUAUGAAAGUUUUGAUUAGUGAUUGACAAAUAAGUUGUGACCAAUUAAAAUUUUGAUUUUGUGACUGAUCAAUGAAUUGUGACCUGCGAAAUUUUUGAUUUGUAACCAGCAAAUGAGUUGUGACCAAUAAAAAAUUUGAUUUUGUGAACGAUCAAUGAAUUGUGACCUAUGAAUCCUAAGGCAUGUGAUCGACAAAUAAUUUGUGACCUAUAGAAUUUUCGAUUUGUGACUUGAAAAUAAUUUGUAAUCAAUUAAUUUGAUAAGCUGUAACCAGAUUUAAUAAAUUUGUGACAUUAAUAUGUUUAAUUAAUAAAAUAUUUUUUUAAUCAAUUAUUUCAAAAAUAAAUUUUAACAAUAUCUGAAUUUUGAAAUGUAAACCUUUUUUUCUCAGUUUUAUAAAUGAAUUUUUUCCGAAAAUUCAACCUUUAGGACCCAAAACCUAAUCCAUAUCUCAUCUUAGCCAAACAAAAGACGAAAUGGAGACACCAGAGUAAACCCUAACCCAAUUUUCGGCCCGCACACCAGCCCAAAUCAUUUUAGUCCCGAACUCUAGAUCGCCGAUCGUCGCCUUCUGCAGCCAGCCACCACCCCGAUCGCCGCUGUAAACAACACUGCCACCAAACACCUGGGAACCACCGGAAAACACUACCAAACCACAACCGCAAACAACAACAAUUACCGCACAGCCACCAAACGCGGUAAUCCGCAACCGCGAACGCCACCAAACUGCAACCGCAACCAUAAUCACAACAGUAAAAGCCACCAAAUUGCCGCCGCAAAAACACCCAAACGCCGCCAAACACACCUCUUGCAUCUAUCUCCCCCGGUGUAUCUCAAUUGCCUUGAUGCGCUGGUAAAGUAAUUUGAUUGGUAUGGCAUGCAUGACCCCCCAAUGUGCCCAUUUCAGGUCCUAUCAUUGAAGUAAAUAAAACAAAAUUAAGACUUAUUUGUUAGUUCACUUCCCCAACCAAUUAUAGGGUUCUUCCACUAUAUUUCAGUACAUGACUCAAUUUUUAGACAUUGAUGUUCAGUUAUAUUCAUGAAGAUCCUUACGUCACGGUCAUUAGAUUCAUCAGUGGAAGCCUGAUAUAAGCCCGGUGUUAAGUUUGAAGUCUCACUACACUCGCGAUUCUUUAGUGGAAGCAUGUCGUCAGACCUUAAAACUUGAAAAAUAUCUUCAUUUUUAAUAGGGGAGAUGUGCAUUCCAGCCACUCACCUAUUUUAGACAGUCACAUCCCAGUCCAUUCACUAGCUUACAAGUGGAUCCCAAUCCCCUCACCAUUGCACUUAGGUUGGACCACCUCUGAACGCCUCAGUCACUUCUACCAGCAACUCUAGUCGGAGCUUUCUAUCCUCUUCCACCAGCCAUCGUGCAUCUAAUCAUAGAUUUGGAGUUUGGCAGGGUGAAGAGUGCCACAAGCCUCUAGAUUCAAUCAAAAGCGCUCUGAAAGAUGCGCUCAUAAACCUAAUGGAAUUUUGCAAACAGUUUGACUCCUUUUGAAAUUAUCAGAAAACUAGCAAAUAUCUUUGGUCUUCUGUAAAUCCCAAUCAUUAGUUCAUUUAGGAUUCAGCCACACUGCAAUUCUGAGAUAUCUUUUGAGAGGACAAUGCCCAUACUUGUGCUCCGGUUUAUGCUAGGCCUCACCUGCCCAACCUAAAAAAAUAGUCAUCUAGCUUGAAGGGAAUACUUUCAACUUUCAAUGUCCACCUUUCAAAGACUGAUGACUCCAAACAUAACCCGUAACAUACCAGUGGUUUAAAACUCCAAUUCAUGUGGAUUAUGAACAAAUUAUCUAUGAGUUUUAGCCCAAUCCAAGUCUUGUUUCUCCAUCAAUUGAACAAUCAGAUUUUUUUUUAUUGUUUUAGGAUGCCUAUGAAACCUCUGCUGCUGGUUUUCUAUGAACCUUCCAAAAUCGUUUCAAGAGAGCGAAUUUAUAAUGCAUUUGUGAGCUAUUAGUGAGUGGCACAAGAAUAUCAGCAUAUUAUUUUGCUGAUUUUACAUAUCUCAAAGUCACAUUACUUUACAAUUGAUAGUUUGUAUUGCCUUGUUUAUCUCCUUGCAUGUUGAACAAAGCACUGCCACAUGGUGGUAGAAGGCCCACAGCUCGCGAACUUCUUUUCGUAAAGAAAAAGCAAUGAUAUUAGAAUAAACUGCAAGAAUACAAUUUUGUUUCCCUCCGAUACUCUCGAUCUCUGGUCCUUCCCACUAGUUAGCAUGCACUAUCCUUUCUUGCUUGGAGAUUCCUGAGAAUAAUGGUAGCUAAUCUCAGCGCAAGUAAAUUGUUAAUAAAAAGAAUUACAAAGUUUAAAUUUACAUAUUAAUCAGGUUACAAAAGAGCCCAAAUGAGGGAUGUCCAAAAUGUAGAGCCGGUGGAAUUCUUUGCACGAAUGAUUACAGGAUUGUCCAUUUUCUAAUUUUACUUAUAACAUCACGGAGUAAUUUGUUGAGUGUGAACUUAUUAGGUUUUAGGUAACAUUGCCCUUUCUUUUUCUCCUCUUUAUUUCUGUUGGAAAAUAGUUGAGUCAUACUCUAUUCCACAAUAGAAGUUGUUUGCAAAAGACAAACAUUAUUUUCAAUUUUUACCAGUGAUGUUCCAAGAACCUUCUACUGAACUUAUUGCCAAUCACUUUCCUAGAGAACUUACUUAUGAAUCCAUGAUAAAAGGAUAGAAGGUACUUGUUGUUUUAAGGGCUGAUUUUGGCUAUCAAUCUAGUCAAACUGCUUACCUUUGAAACAGCCUCCAAUGCUAUACAAUUAGCUUUACAAGGAGGUCUUUUCAUAAGACUCUAACCUGUCUAGGUGAUUCUGUGUUGUUAGUUGACACUAUAAUAAAAUAGCAUUAUGAUUGAACUUCUGGCUCUCUCUGAAUCUCUCCUGAGCUAGAAUUUUUUAUUUUAGAAUUUAUUGCAAUGGAUAUAUGAUAAUCUAUUAAGAGAACUAGGUCUUGAGUGGGAUUCACUUUGAGUUUACAUAUACAAGUUAAAUGGUUUUUGAUAAUAUAACUCUUAAAUAGGUAAUCUGCGCUCUAUAAAACACUGAAAUUUUUUAUAAUGAAUUCGUGUGUAGACGUCUUCAUCCUUGAGCCCGACAUAUUAUGUCCUAAUAGUGGGGAAGUGAUAUGGACUUCAGUUAAGCUGCCCAAAGGCGAAGAGUCGAGAUAUCGGACAAACUUUACUGAGCUCCGUCUUAUAGGUAAUAAUUUAAAUUUUGCUUUUUUUGUGCAAAAAUCUCUUUUUCUUCAUAGUCCUAGAUUAGUUUUGUGAUUCUUGAGUAUACUUUUUGCAGGGUCCAGUGGCUUUGGUGUUGUGGCAGAAUGCAAAAAUAAGUUGGACAAAAAAGUUUAUGCAGUUAAAAAAAAUAUCUUUGAAGGCUGCCAAUAUGUCUUUUCAGAAAAUCUUGAGGUACAAUAUACAAUUUCCAAUCCAUGAACUUCAAAAACUUUAGUAAAAUGUGAUACUAAGAGUGCAAGUUUGCCAAAAUGGCAGGGCGCACACACUUGUAAACAAUUGAGAAAGACACUUCCAAUAUCACUUUAAAACUGAUUUGUGAUCAAUUCAGCCCUUUUCCUCCCUGCCAUUUUUUAUUUCCUUGGAAUUUAGAACAGAGGUUCAGCACCCUUCUUAUGUAGCUAAAAAGGCUUAGCGAACUGAGUGCAAUCAAGGAGCAUGAAUUCUUGUUGUUAACAGCUAUUGAUCCUUGUUCAUCUAAUAACAUAUAGACCGGAGAAUAGUGUGCAAUCAACGAGGAAAAGAAAAUUUUAAUCGUUGUUUACUGUUUACCUGGAAUAAAGUAUCCACUUGAUAUAGGAAUAUUUGAAUUCUAUGUUAACUGGACCGAGAAGUUUACAUUAUGGAGCAAAAUCUAUAGCUCUAAUUUGAUAGAUUCCUGCACAAACUAUAGGACCUCACUGUAGACCUGUCACCUUUUUGUCCUAUUUUAAUAAAUGCGUUGAGCAUUAUCACCAUGCCAAUUAAUACAGAGAAUGGGAGUUCAAUGCGUUUGUAUUAGAUGGCAGUUCAAGAAGUUGCAUAGGAAUCAGCUUCGUAUGAGACACCAUUUUCCAGUGUAGUAGCCAAACUAAUGAAACCUAAGGAAUCAAUAUAUCAGAGACCACCAUCCCCAACAAUUACCAAGUAGCUUGACCACCAUGUAAGCAUUUUUCCUGUGAGUGCAUUUCUUUAAAACCACCCUAAAAUACAUCACAUUCUGUUAAUUUCACAUGCUAACUGCCCUGUUCAUCAAGUUAUGUUACAGCAAUUUUUCUGUAUAAUUAAAUUUAUUUUUGAGUAUGCGAACAUAAAUAGCUUUGUGCCAUUGUCCGCAAGUUUUCAAUGCCAUGGAUGUUAGUACCUGCUUGGUGGAUCUUAUUGUCACUUUAUUUGAGAUCUUAUUUAAUUUAACUGGGGAUUUUAUUUUUAACCUUGCCCUGGAGUCAUUCGUAGUGAAGGCUCAUUUAGCUGUUGGUUAUGUAAUCAAUUACUAACCUUUUUAUAUUUGAUCAAAUAAUGGCUUUUUUAUAUUGUUAGUUGAAGGGCAAGUUCUUGAGUGCUUUUGCAACCAAGAACUAUGAGGUAUAUAAGUCUUUCUUAAAAUUACCACCUUGACAUCUCACUUUGAAAUGUAAACACAAGUCAUUAGCUAAGUAAAACUAGAAGGCUGAAAUUUUGAAUCAUGAUUUAAAGUAAAAAAAAAUAAAAAAUAAAAAUAAAAAUCGAAUGAGUAAGUUGUUGAAAAUAUCAUACCUCAGAGUGAGCAAGGAGUUGCCAUAUUGGUGAUGCUAACAAUUGAAAAAUGAAUUCAAAUCGAAGAAAUUUUCAAUUCAAAGAACUAUUUUUGACAAAUCCCAGACUAGAAAAAGAGGAAAAUAUGAAUGCAAGUCAUUGAAGAUGUGAUUCAUGAAAUAGUGGUGCACUGCUCCUAUGUUCUAUGAUUCUCAACAUAUUAUAACCAACGGCCAUGAAUUAAUAGCCGAGAUGACAAUUGAAUGCAGUAGACUGUGAUACACAUAAAGUAUCUAUAAUUGUAAACAAAAUAAUUCAACUAACCAUCUAACGCAAUAAAUAAUAAAAUCUACAAAAAAUCCAUUGCUCUCAACCACUCAUAAAAAGUAGGUAAUUAUCGAGCAAUGGAAUGAUAUCAUUAUUAUACACCUGGCUUCCAUGCAUUUGGAGAAAAGGAGGAAAUCAAAGGAGCAGAGCUUGAUUUGAAAUUGGGGAUUUUAGAAAGAAAAGGUGGUUGGAAUUUAUAGAGUGAAUAGGAAACUAGGGAUUUCAAUAGUGAAAGGACUAGUAGAGGGAGAGGAGAGUUUGAUGGGCAAGGGUCUUAAAGAAAUUGAAAUGUUCUUAUAAUAAAUUUGGGACAUCCACACAGAACCAUAGUAAAGAAUACGACUUACAUGCUGAAAAUAAAACACCAUGAUAAAUAACCUUUAUGAUGUUCUCUUUAAAACUAUGGUAAUGAAGUAGUUUCAUGUAGUUGCUAAUAUUCUGUUCAUACUAUCUACUUGGAUUUCAAGCCUUUUUUAACAAUUCUAGUCUUUUUAUGGCCAUUCGUCAGAGAGGUGAAAGCAAUUUCAUCAAUGAGCCACCCGAACAUUGUGCGUUAUUACCAGGCUUGUGCUUGAAUGCAUACAUAUUGUGUCAAGUAUCCACUUGAUAUAGGAAUAUUUGAAUUCUAUGUUAACUGGACCGAGAAGUUUACAUUAUGGAGCAAAAUCUAUAGCUCUAAUUUGAUAGAUUCCUGCACAAACUAUAGGACCUCACUGUAGACCUGUCACCUUUUUGUCCUAUUUUAAUAAAUGCGUUGAGCAUUAUCACCAUGCCAAUUAAUACAGAGAAUGGGAGUUCAAUGCGUUUGUAUUAGAUGGCAGUUCAAGAAGUUGCAUAGGAAUCAGCUUCGUAUGAGACACCAUUUUCCAGUGUAGUAGCCAAACUAAUGAAACCUAAGGAAUCAAUAUAUCAGAGACCACCAUCCCCAACAAUUACCAAGUAGCUUGACCACCAUGUAAGCAUUUUUCCUGUGAGUGCAUUUCUUUAAAACCACCCUAAAAUACAUCACAUUCUGUUAAUUUCACAUGCUAACUGCCCUGUUCAUCAAGUUAUGUUACAGCAAUUUUUCUGUAUAAUUAAAUUUAUUUUUGAGUAUGCGAACAUAAAUAGCUUUGUGCCAUUGUCCGCAAGUUUUCAAUGCCAUGGAUGUUAGUACCUGCUUGGUGGAUCUUAUUGUCACUUUAUUUGAGAUCUUAUUUAAUUUAACUGGGGAUUUUAUUUUUAACCUUGCCCUGGAGUCAUUCGUAGUGAAGGCUCAUUUAGCUGUUGGUUACGUAAUCAAUUACUAACCUUUUUAUAUUUGAUCAAAUAAUGGCUUUUUUAUAUUGUUAGUUGAAGGGCAAGUUCUUGAGUGCUUUUGCAACCAAGAACUAUGAGGUAUAUAAGUCUUUCUUAAAAUUACCACCUUGACAUCUCACUUUGAAAUGUAAACACAAGUCAUUAGCUAAGUAAAACUAGAAGGCUGAAAUUUUGAAUCAUGAUUUAAAGUAAAAAAAAAUAAAAAAUAAAAAUAAAAAUCGAAUGAGUAAGUUGUUGAAAAUAUCAUACCUCAGAGUGAGCAAGGAGUUGCCAUAUUGGUGAUGCUAACAAUUGAAAAAUGAAUUCAAAUCGAAGAAAUUUUCAAUUCAAAGAACUAUUUUUGACAAAUCCCAGACUAGAAAAAGAGGAAAAUAUGAAUGCAAGUCAUUGAAGAUGUGAUUCAUGAAAUAGUGGUGCACUGCUCCUAUGUUCUAUGAUUCUCAACAUAUUAUAACCAACGGCCAUGAAUUAAUAGCCGAGAUGACAAUUGAAUGCAGUAGACUGUGAUACACAUAAAGUAUCUAUAAUUGUAAACAAAAUAAUUCAACUAACCAUCUAACGCAAUAAAUAAUAAAAUCUACAAAAAAAUCCAUUGCUCUCAACCACUCAUAAAAAGUAGGUAAUUAUCGAGCAACGGAAUGAUAUCAUUAUUAUACACCUGGCUUCCAUGCAUUUGGAGAAAAGGAGGAAAUCAAAGGAGCAGAGCUUGAUUUGAAAUUGGGGAUUUUAGAAAGAAAAGGUGGUUGGAAUUUAUAGAGUGAAUAGGAAACUAGGGAUUUCAAUAGUGAAAGGACUAGUAGAGGGAGAGGAGAGUUUGAUGGGCAAGGGUCUUAAAGAAAUUGAAAUGUUCUUAUAAUAAAUUUGGGACAUCCACACAGAACCAUAGUAAAGAAUACGACUUACAUGCUGAAAAUAAAACACCAUGAUAAAUAACCUUUAUGAUGUUCUCUUUAAAACUAUGGUAAUGAAGUAGUUUCAUGUAGUUGCUAAUAUUCUGUUCAUACUAUCUACUUGGAUUUCAAGCCUUUUUUAACAAUUCUAGUCUUUUUAUGGCCAUUCGUCAGAGAGGUGAAAGCAAUUUCAUCAAUGAGCCACCCGAACAUUGUGCGUUAUUACCAGGCUUGUGCUUGAAUGCAUACAUAUUGUGUCAAUGUUGCAGCUUGAAAAAUAUUUUAUGCAUUUUAAUUUCUAGUAGUUUUCAUUCUUUUUAGUCUUGGAUUGAGCCCGUUGUGUCUGGAUGCUCUAAUGACUUGUGGGAGUCAGACGAGAUAUAAUCACCUUGCCUCUAUAUAGUGAUGGAAUAUUGUCCAGGGUAUGCAUUUAAAAUUCAUUACUUAUGAUGUGUAUGUCAACUUUGAUUUUUAUGACAGUAAUAGUGAUCAAUUAACAAUUUUAAGUUAUGUUUUUGAUAUAGGUGUUUGAGCUCGCAGGGUAUGCAUUUAAAAUUCAUUACUUAUGAUGUGUAUGUCAACUUUGAUUUUUAUGACAGUAAUAGUGAUCAAUUAACAAUUUUAAGUUAUGUUUUUGAUAUAGGUGUUUGAGCUCGUUUCUCGAUGAUUUCAGUAGCCACUAGAGUAGGGAGCAGGCUUUGGUGAUUUUUCGACAAAUUGUGCAAGUAUUGGCCCACAUUCAUGAGAUGAUCAUUAUUCAUCGAGAUCUAUCUCGAUCAAAUAUAUUUUUGGAUGAAGAUGGGAACGUGAAAGUAGGAGACUUUGGAUUAGAUAAAUUGAAGCUCAAAUGAGUUUUAUGCAGUGUCAUAGUUUAGUUUAAUUUUUAGUUUAUUGGAGAUUGCAUUUUAUUCUUUUUGGUGCAGCAAAGAAGUUGGAUGAUGAUGGUAACACCUUAGUGUCGACUAGUGAUGGAACAAACAGAGAGCUCCGGAGUAUGCUUACAGGGAGGUUGAUGCCAAGGUGGACAUUUAUAGCCUUGGCAUGAUGCUCGUGGAGUUAUUAUACCCAUUUGAUACAGGAUUUGAAAGGACUAAAGUUUUGGGGGACCUGAAAACGGAGUUUAUCCAGAUGAAUGGAACGUUCAGCAUAAAGUAGUUAUUGGCAGACUGAUCUCAGAGAGCCCCUUGGCUCGGCCCACUGCUGUUGAAAUAUUGGAGGAUGAAAAUUUUAUUGGCUGAGGAUUUUCUAUAUAAAACUCCCCUAUUGGGAUGCAUAAACUUCUCGUAAUGAUUGUAAUGUAAACAGUAAAAUGUGCACGAAAUGAAUUUUAUCGCACGCUUUACACGCUCCCAUUUUUAGCACUGUGUAUGUGUUUCUCAGUUUUCUUUUAUUACCACAGUAAGAUACAAAAAUAAUCAACCCCCACUGCAUUCAAAAUAUUUAGGAUUCCGAAAUUUAACGUGUAUGUGUUGAAAUUAUGGUUAACUGAGCUCGAGUUCUUGCCAGAAAGGUGGAACAUACUAUGACACUACCUUAUUUUGAGAUUCUAUAAAAUCUUGUGUUUAAGUUGACAAUAAACACAAAGCCUGACCUUACAGAAACAGAGAAUGGGAGUUUUUGAUAAUGGUCAAGCACCUCUUUUCUAGAGUCAUUUUAUAUAUAUAUGGAGAUGUGAUGUUUUCUUUUGGCUUUUGAUGACUAAAGGAUUAUGAAAUGGUAAUGAAGGAAAUUUGGAACAAAAGUUUUAGAUGGGCACUAUAAUUUGACACGGUAGAUUGCAAAGGUUAGUGCGGGCAAAAAUAUACACACUACGGUUAAAGAGUUUGUCAUUCUGGAUUCGCUUCCAAUUUCUAAAUGCUCUAAGAAUGGUCAAAUUAAUACAUUUAAUGCCUAGAGAUUGUAAUUCGAGGCUCAUUAAACUAGGAAUAAUUUCACUAGUCAUAGAUCACUGUAAAAUGCAACUAGAAAGUCUUCAACAGCAGAUUGGCAAGAAAUGAAACUUUAAUAAUUUACAUCUCUCUAUUUCUUUUUCAUUUUUCAUGAAGAAAAUUAAAUAAAAACAUAAAUAAUUGGAAUGUAAAGAAACACUUAGCCCCUGUUUGGUGCCCAUUCUUUUUAAAAAGAAAGAGUUUUGAAUAGUGUUUUAGGAGAAUGUACGGUCAACGCCCCCACGGGGGUGCUGCCCCCUUGACCCCCGCGUCCUGACCGGACAGGUCGAUCCCCGUUGCACAGCGACAAACACUAGUCAGAGCGACAAAUCAUUCGCAAAACAAAAAAAUAAAAUAAAUACAUGCAAAAUGAUGAAAAAUAUCUAACAUAUCCCCCUUAUUUUUCAAAAUUUUGAUUUAGAAAAGAUGAAACGACUGCAUCACAAAAAUUGAUUGCUUACGUAACCUUAACGGAAUCAAGCCACCGUAGUUCAUGCAAACACACACAAAAGGCAUCAUCGCAGGAAAUCGUACAUAAAUGAAAGUAGCUUUUGACUUUGAACUUUCACUUAGUGUAAACAACUCAAAGUUUUGUCAAGGUGCUAUGGUGAAUGAAUCUUGAACCAAGGACCCUAUCAUGACUAGCCGGAGUCAUUACACAUACUAUUCCAAUAGAAAGGAGUCUCUUUUAUACCAACGCAUUAAUGGCCUUGCGUAUAUCCCGAAUUUUAUGAGUGCUUUAGAGACGGUCUAAAUCUCAUAGAAAACGGUUUGACUUUCUCACUCACAUAGGUAAGUUCUUUAUAAAGUAAUUCUGCGAGUUACUUUCUCUCUUAAUAGAACUUAUUAAGAAAUUAAAUCCAUCCUCAACCAUGCAGAAUACAUACACUAGAGAUUUUAUGAAUGGAUUUGAACUAAUACUCUAGUGUCUCGUCUAAGUUAGACUUUAACUUGUUUGUACCCUUUGAACUUUGUUUAUAUUUCAAAACAUAAGUAGGGUUUCCAUUAAAGCUAACUGAAGUUAUGUAGACCUCAAUCCCAUUCCUUUCGAUGUUUUCGCAAUCAUCUCUCUAGCCAAUCCUUUUGUCAAAGGAUCUGCUAGGUUAUUCUUCGACUCUACAUAUUCAACGGUGAUUACUCCUUGCUUAAGUAAUCCUCGAAGAGACUGAUGUCUAAGACUGAGAUAUCGUUGCUUACCAUUGUAAGUCUUGUUUGCUACCGAAUACAAAGUAGCUUUACUAUCACAAUAGAUCAUCACAGCUGAAGAUGGUUUCUCCCACAACGGGAUAUCUAUUAGCAAAUUUCUUAGCCGUUCAGCUUCUUUACUUGCAUCAGCAAAAGCAAUAAAUUCUGCCAACAUAGUCGAAUCUGAGACGCAUGUUUGUUUCUUAGAACACCAAGAAACAGUUGCACCUCCUAAAGUAAAAAUCCAACCUGUUGCGGAUUUAGAAUUCGAUUCUAUAUUGUUUCAACUUGCAUCGCUGUAUCCUUCAAGUACAGUAGGAAAUCCACGAUAAUGUAAUCCAUAAUCAAUAGUUCCUUUCAUAUCUUAGGAUUCUUGAAACCGCAUUCCAAUGUUCUUUUCCUAGAUUACUAGUGAAUCGACACAAUAUGUCAACUGCAUAUGCAAUAUCUGGUCUUGUGCAAUGCAUAGCAUACAUAAGACUUCCAAUCACACUUGCAUAUUGUAGUUGGUCAUAAGAUCUACCAGUAUUUUUCAUUAACUUAAUACUAGGAUCUAUUGGAGUUGAUGCGGGUUUAUGACCCAUAUGACCAUAUCUUUUAAGGAAAUUUUCAAUAUAAUGAGAUUGAUUCAGCGAUAUGCAUCCAUCUUUUCUUAUUAUUUUAACUCCUAAGAUCACAUUUGCUUCGCCUAAAUCCUUCAUAUCGAAGUUAGACUCUAGCAAUUGUUUGGUCUCCUUAACACUUUCUAAGUUAGGACAAAAAAUAAGCAUGUCAUCUACAUACAAGCAAAUAAGAGUACAUGCACCAUUUCUACAUGUAGAAUAGAUACAUUUAUCUGCUUCAUUAACCUUAAAACCGUUAGACAACAUUACUUUAUUAAACUUUUCAUGCCAUUGCAUAGGGGCUUGUUUUAAACCAUAAAGAGACUUGACUAGUUUACAAACCUUCUUUUCUUGUCCAGGUAAAACAGAACCCUCGGGUUGCUCCAUAUACACUUCUUCCUCCAAAUCACCAUUUAGAAAAGCCGUUUUUACAUCCAUUUGAUGGACAACUAAAUUGUGAGUUGAAGUAAGAGAUAGCAACACGCGGAUGGAAGAUAUCCUUGCUACGGGAGCAUAAGUAUCAAAAUAAUAUAUGCCAUGACGUUGUUUAAAACCUUUAGCUACUAAUCGAGCUUUAUACUUAUUUAUAGAGUCAUCUGCAUUUAAUUUCCUCUUGAAAAUCCAUUUACAACCUAUUGGUUUAGAACCACGAGGUAAAUCAACCAGUUUUCAUGUUUGAUUUGACAUAAUGGAUCUCAUUUCAUCAUUGAUUGCUUCUUUCCAAAGUACAGCAUCUUGAGAUGAAAUAGCUUCUGAAUAUGUGACAGGAUCACUAUCAUCAUUAAGCAUUAGCUUAGUCUGAUGUGUAAUAUUAUUUACAUCACCUUCUUGCAAAUAAGUCACAAAUUCAGAUUCGAAAGAUUUUUCUUUCCUUUGUCUCUUACUCCUUCUAGGUUCUAUUUCCGAUUGUGGUUCAACAGAAGUAUCAUUAAGAGAUUCUUCAUGAACUCUCUUAGAAGAACCAGAAGUAGUAUUAUCUUCAGUUUACACAGUUGAAGACUUGUAUAUACUUUCAAAAAAUUCAGCAUCAAUUGAUUCGAUAACAUCAUUGGAUUCUAACUUCAGAAACCUAUAAGCAGUACUGUUUUUUGCAUAACCUAUGAAUACACAUUUAUAAGUUUUACUUCCUAAUUUAGUAAUCUCUGGAUUUGGUUUUCUCAUAUACGCGAGACAUCCCCACACCUUGAGACGACUAAUAUUAGGUUUCCGUUGAACCACAACUCAUAUGGAGUUUUGUUAAUCUUCUUCAUAGGAAUCCUUUUUAGAGUAUAACAUGCACUUAAGAUUGCUUCACCCCACCAUUGAUCAGGUAAACCAGAACUAAUAAGUAUGCAAUUCACCAUUUCAACUAAAGUACUGUUUUUCCUUUCUGCUACUCCGUUUGAUUUUGGCGAAUAUGGUGGAGUAAACUCGUGAACUAUACCAUUAGUUUCACAGAAUUUUGUUAAUUCUGCUACUUAGUAUUCACCUCCUCUAUCAGAACGUAGGAAUUUAAUUUUUCGGUUUAAUUGAUUUUCCACUACUUCUUUAUAAAUAAGAAAUUUACUUAAAACUUCAUCUUUACUUUUUAGUAAGUAUACGUAAGCAUAUUUCGAAAAAUCAUCUAUAAAGGUCACAAAGUACUUGUUCCCUCCACGUGAAACUUUACUAUGCUGAUCAGCCACAUCAGAAUGUAUAAGACCAAGUAAUUCAGAUGUUCGCAUAACAGAUUUAUGUGUUUUACACGUUAUUUUACCUUGAACACAUAUAUCACAUUUGUUAACAUCAUCAAACUUACAUUUAGGAAUAAUUCCUAAAUUAUGCAUGUUUUUAAUGAAUUUAUAAUUUAUGUGGCCUAAUCUAGCAUGUCAUAAAGGUAAAGAAUCAACAGUAUAAGCAAAGUUAUCAUUUAUUAGAUUCAUUUUGAACAUACCAUUACAUGAGUAACCUUUUCCGACAAAAACAUUAUUUUUAGAUACUAUAAGGCUAUCAGACUCAAUUACAAGCUUAAAACCUGCCUUGUUAAGGCAAUCCCCAGAAAUCAGGUUCUUGAUCAUUUCAGGCACAUGGAGAACUUCUGCCAAAGUCAUAUUCUUUCCCGAAGUGAAUUUCAGUUCAACCGAUCCAAUUCCAACAACUUUGGUACAAACAUUGUUACCCAUUUUUACUUCUCUUCCAUCGGUGCAUUCUUUGUAAGUCUUGAACUGAGAUCUGUCGUUGACUUACAUGAAUUGUAGCUCCGAUAUCCAGCCCCCAUCCUACUUCAACUCCGACUGAGUUGGCUUCUUCCACCACAGCAACAAGGUUUGGAUUAUGAUUUCCAUCAGUCACAUUUACUUGAUCCUUCUUUGUCUUUUCGUUCUUUGCCUUCUCAUCUUUUAUUCCAUGUCAGCAUUCACGAGCAAUAUGACCAGAUUUCUUGCAGUAGAAACAAUCCCCCUGGAAUUUUUUCUUAGAGAUUUCUGCAUAAUCUACCUUAGAACUGGAGUUUUUACGCUUCUUGUUACCCAUAUGAUUUCCUUGAACCAUGUUUGCCUUUUCUGCCGCUUGAUCAUUAUUUUCUCGUUUACGAGAGUCUUUCUCAAUACGCAAAUGACGCAUGAGGGAUUCCAGGGUAUGCUUGGUUUCAUCAUGUUUGAGUUUCUUUUUAUAGCCAUUCCAUGAACUUGGUAAUUUUGCAAUAAUGGCUCUAACUUGAAAUGCUUCAGGCAAGACAAUUUCAGCAUUCUUAAGAUUACUAACAAUAAGUUGUAAUUCAUGUACCUGGGCAAGAACAGACUUACUGUCCGUCAUCUUGAAAUCAAAGUAAUUACCGAUCAAGAAUUUCUGGUUGCUUGCCUCUUCAAUACGAUACUUGUUGUCCAAUGCCAGCCACAAUUUUUUUGCUGUUCCGAUAGUCCUGCGUGUGCUGUAAACAGAAUCUAAUAGUGCAUUCAGAAUAUAGCCUCUGCACAGAAAAUCAUCAUCCUUCCAUUUUUUCCGCUGUUCCUGUAAUUCAUUCUUGCGUUCAUCUGAAUCAUCUGCUUUUUUCUUCUGGAAUAGGCGCAAGAUCAUCACUCAGAAUGUAGGACAGUUUGAUUGCUGUCAAGAAGAAUAAACCUUCUCCUGCCAACGCGUGAAGUUAUGUCCAUCAAACCGAUCAAGACGAAUCAAAUCUUGAUUCAUGACUUGAAUUGAAGGUGCCACAUAUUCAUUUUACUGUCAGAUCUUGAAACAAAGACAUCUCUUAAAAUUGUUGAGAAAAAUGUAGAAAAAUCUGAAAACUUAAUGAUCUCCAAGGCACGAAAAACGUUAUCUUUUAAGAGAUGUUUCUCCCCUAUCCAACGAAGUCACGACUGGGAAAUCUCUCAGGAUACAAUGGAGGCGUUUGAUUCAAAUUGUGACUAUUUGAUCAAACCAAGAAGACACUAAAAAAAACUGAUGAUGCCAAGAGAAAGAGAGAAUAAUAUUUUUAAUGUGUUUUGUAAACGAGAAUUCGCCCAGAAUUUAUAGAAAUUGAGGCAACGGUUUGAAUAUGUGUGUCCCUUGAAAUGAAGAGCACAUCUGUUGGAAGUAACUGUCAAACGAACAGAUGCACCUAUUCGAAAACUUUUGAAAAUAAAAUUCUUUUCGGGAGCAUAUGUUAGAUAUUUUUCAUCAUUUUGCAUGUAUUUAUUUUAUUUUUUUUGUUUACGAAUGAUUUGCCGUCCGGACUAGUGUUUGUCCCUGUGCAACGAGGAUCGACAUGCCUGGUAAGGACGCGGGGGUUGAGGGGGCAGUGCCCCUGUGGGGGCUCGGGGACAAUGCCCCCGAAAGAGAAUUUUAUUUUCAAAAGUUUUCGAAUAGGUGCAUCUGUUCUUUUGAUAGUUACUUCCAACAGGUGUGUUCUUCAUUUCAAGGGACACAUCUAUUCAAACGGUUACCUCAAUUUUUAUAAAUUCUGGGCGAAUUCUCGUUUGCAAAACACAUUAAAAAAUAUUCUUCUCUCCUUCUCUUAGCAUCAUCAGUUUUUUUUUAGUGUCUUCUUGAUUUGAUUAAAUAGUUACAAUUUGAAUCAAACGCCUCCAUUGUAUUCUAAGAGAGAUUUUCUAUCAUACUCCAGCCGUGACUUCGUUGGAUAGGGGAGAAACAUCUUUUAAAAGAUAACGUUUUUCGUGCCUUGUAGUUCAUUAAGUUUUCAGAUUUUCCUACAUUUUUCUCAACAAAAAAUAGGAAAAACGUUUCGGAUUUACGUGCAGAAUAUUUUAUUAUGUAAAUGUGUGAUUGAAAAUGAUUAUAUAGGAGAAAUAGUUUAAAAAGAAUGAGAAUCAAACAUGGACUUAUAGUGUAUUUGAUUGACUUUAUUUUUCAUGAAUAAUAUCUUUUUCUUCAUCCAAGUUCCUACUUUUGGAGUGUUUGAUUAACAUUUUUUUGAUGAAAACAUUUUUCAAAAGUUGAUCACCUGAUCAUAUUUUCCUAAAAAAAUAAGGAAAUUUUUUUCUUUAGCUUAGCUUAACGCUAGGUAAUGGCCAUAAGCACAGCCCAUAAAUCCAAUGACUCCCUUUACGUUGGAUCAUACGAGGCCUAAAUCUUAGUUAUGAACCAAUAGAGUCGGAAAGUAGUACAAAAAUGUAAGAACUCUAUAGAUGUUUUGCCCUGAGACACAUAGUUCCAUCACAAAAGUUUAUGUCCUCGUUGAGCAUCCACAAAUGGGGAUACAAAUAUAAGCACUUGCAACAAUCUAUUCACAUUACAAGUUUACAAAUUUCAUGUGGUGGGGACCCUUAAGGUUAGAGUUUAACCUUUUUUUAAAGUUUACAAAUUUCACGAAUCUGAUCAAAUAUCACUACUAAAAUAAAAGAGUGAGUAGGUUUUGGCACUGUUCCUAGGAGUGCGUGCCACCUCUUUUUUGUUUGUUUUUUUUUUUUUUCCUUCCUAAAAAAAUGACGUGAUCUUUUGCUAUCUUCUUUCGCACGCUUAAUUAAUUGUUGUUCAGCCUUUACAGUUUACAACCUUUAUUUGCCAUUCAUCUUCUAAGUAAAUUUAAUCAAUCAUCACUCAACUUUGAAAUUGUUACUACUUACUUACUCUGUUUUAGCGGGUUACCCAAUGGUCCUUCAUCUUUCUAUUUAGUUAUCCAUCCACCACUCAUUUAACUUCCAUUUCUUCAAAUAAACGGAAAACUACACGUGGAUAACAGAAGCAGACGUGGCAACUCUGUUAAAUUGAUAACCUGGGAUAAAACACACACACGACUUCUCCCCUAUUCUCAAUAUCAUAACCCCCAAUUCAAACCCUUUAAUUCCGGCCACAAUUUUCUCCAGGAUAGUGAUGCGGGCUGGUACAAAAUGGACGCCACCGGCCUGAGAAUCGCCGCCAUCUCUUCCCUUCACUGGUCCGGAUAAUAUCCUUGAUUAUGAUUUCCACCUCCAGGCUGCGGAUAAUUCUGCCUCUGACGAAAGUUUUGGGGAGAACCCUGACUCUAAAACCCACCUUGUCGAGGAUAAUUUUGGCUCAAAUUAGGGUUUUGGUUUUGUGGGUACCAAUUAUUUUGGUUGUUAUUAUUCCACUGGUUAACGUUACCACUUGCUGGUCGAGGAUGGGGAAAAUUAGGGGUCGGGUUAGGAACUCCAGGUGGAAAUCAUAAUCAGAUUUUUACCGUUAUAUGCUUGAGACAAGUAGAACUUCGUGGACUUGUGGAAAGUGCAAGGAAUCAGUAACUGUAGCUUUGAUUCAAUUGUACAGGCAAUCGAAGGUGAGUAGAAGCAGAUGGAAGAGAGCUCCCACGGUUAUAAGGAGCUUUCAAUUGUACAGUAGGAGAUAUGAAAAUGCUUAUAUGUAUUUUUAUCUUGAUCAAUGGAGUAGGGGUUGAAAAUGCGUAUAUGUAGUUGGUUGUUGUAAUUUGGUUCUUUGAACUUUGUAUUAUUGAAUGAAUGAAUCCUAUUAUAACUUGGUUUUUUUCCUUUUUGUGGCUGAGUUGAUGGUUAUUGUAACUUGAAAAUGCUUAUAUGUAUUUUUAUCUUGAUCAAUGGAGUAGGGGUUGAAAAUGCGUAUAUGUAGUUGGUUGUUGUAAUUUGGUUCUUUGAACUUUGUAUUAUUGAAUGAAUGAAUCCUAUUAUAACUUGGUUUGUUUCCUUUUUGUGGCUGAGUUGAUGGUUGUUGUAACUUGGUUCUUUGAACUUUGUAUUAUUGAAUGAAUGAAUCCUAUUAUAAUUUGGUUUGUUUCCUUUUUGUGGCUGAGUUGAUGGAUGGCAAUAUUUUGUGUAAAUUAGAAGUUAGUUCUAAGGCUAUUGAAAAUUGGGAUUGAUUGAGGUGCA
rnacentral:lncRNA from 1 species